ACCCCCGGCUCAAGGCACAAGAUAUCACACAAACACAUAGUAAAGCACAGAAGCAGAUGACAUAACAUAAAUACGGCACCCAUAAGGAAUAUAAAGCAGAGGAAAGCAGAGGAAAGCACACAGAUUCGUAAUAAGCAUGGAACACUGAAUACGGAAUCAUAACGGGAAUAAAAAAUAAAAAAAAACCAAAACCCCACCAAGUAAUUCCUUACACUAGCGACCCAAUCUGGCCCUACUCUUCUGCCGUAAUUCGCGUCUUCCAGACCUUCCUAUCUAGGGUCAUGUCCUCGGUAAGCUGUAACUGUUCCAUGUCCCGCCUAAUCACCUCACCCCAGUACUUCUUCGGCCUACCCCUACCCCGCAUAAAACCAUCCAACGCUAGUCUCUCACACCUACGGACCGGGACAUCCAUGCCCCUCCUCUUCACGUGUCCGAACCAUCUCAAUCGUGCUUCCCGCAUCUUACACUCCACUGAAGUCACACCAACCUUCUCCCGGAUAGUCUCAUUCCGAACUCUAUCCCCUCGAGUCAGUCCACACAUCCAGCGCAACAUCCGCAUUUCUGCCACCUUCAUUUUUUGGAUGUGGGAGUUCUUAACUGGCCAACACUCCGCUCCAUACAGCAAGGCCGGACGGACUACCACCCUAUAGAAUUUGCCUUUAAGCUUGGGCGGCACCUUCUUAUCACACAGCACCCCCGAUGCAAGUUUCCACUUCAUCCAUCCCGCCCCGAUACGGUGCGAGACAUCCUCGUCAAUCUCACCGUUACUCUGGAUCACGGACCCGAGGUACUUGAACUUAUCCCUUUUCUUUACCUCCUGCGCUUCUAGCCUCACCACUACCUCAUUCUCUCGCCUUACGUCAUUAAACUUACAUUCCACAUACUCUGUCUUGGUUCUGCUCACCCUGAACCCUUUAGACUCCAGAGUUUGCCUCCACAGCUCUAAUUUGUCGUUCACACCCCCUCGCGUCUCAUCUAUCAGGACUACAUCGUCUGCAAAAAGCAUACACCACGGCACCUCCCCUUGGAUACGCCGCGUUAACACAUCCAUUACUAGCGCAAACAAAAAGGGACUAAGAGUAGAUCCCUGAUGCAAUCCUGUCAGGACAGUGAAAUGCUCUGAGUCUCCUCCCGCCGUCCUCACCUGGGUUUUCGCUCCCUCAUACAUAUCCUUAAUUACUCUGCUAUAUGCCUGCGGUACUCCACUCACCUCCAAGCAUCUCCAAAGCACCUCCCUGGGGACUUUGUCGUACGCCUUUUCUAGGUCGAUGAACACCAUGUGCAAAUCCUUCUUCCUUUCCCUAUAUUGCUCCACCAACCGCCGUACCAGGUGAAUUGCCUCCGUCGUCGAGCGGCCGGGCAUAAAUCCGAACUGAUUUUCCGAGAUAGACACUAUCCGUCUCAGCCUCACCUCGACCACUCUCUCCCAGAUCUUCAUAGAGUGACUCAGUAACUUAAUCCCCCUAUAGUUAUUGCAACACUGAAUGUCCCCCUUAUUCUUAUAGAGGGGGAUCAUGGUACUCCACCUCCACGCCUCGGGCAUCUUUGCUGUCCUGAAAAUUUCAUUGAACAAUGCAGUCAACCACCUUACACCAGCCUCUCCAACGAACUUCCAAAACUCCACCGGUAUCUCAUCCGGCCCCGUCGCCCUACCCCUUCGCAUCCUGCGGACUGCCUGUCUAACCUCGUCUACCUUAAAACGUCUACAAUAGCUAAAAUCCCGACACUCCCCUGAGUGCUCCAGUUCCCCUAACACAAUAGCUCUGUCCCCCUCGUCAUUCAAGAGCCUAUGAAAGUACGACUGCCAUCUCUUCUUUAUGUGGCCGUCCUCCACCAACACUCUACCGUCCUCCCCCUUAAUGCACCGCACCUGAUCGAGGUCACGACCCUUCCUCUCCCUAGCCUUAGCGAGUCGGAACAACUUUUUCUCCCCUCCUUUCCCCUGUAACCCUGCAUACAAGCUCUCAAAAGCGGCCGUCUUAGCUGCCGUGACCGCUGACUUCGCCUCCUUCCUCGCUAGCUUGUACUCUUUCCUGUUUACCCGCUUCUCUUCUUCGUCCUUACUUUCCACCAACUUAGCAUAAUGAUGAGUAAAUUCCCUAAAUAGUCACCCAUGUUAGGAAAUUUGCCUUAUAAUAUCAUUUUUGUUUCUUUUAGGACCAUAAUAUCACCCAACUAUUCCUAUUUUCCUCAACACCAUUAAAGCUUUUUUUUUUUUAAAUAUCAUUAAAACUCCAUUAAAGCUCAACACAAUGUCUUCUUCAACACAAUAUCUUCUUCAACACCAUUAAAGCUCCUCCAUUAAAGGUCUAUUGAAACUUUUUUUUUUUAAAUAUCUUUAAAACUCCAUUAAAGCUCCUCCAUUAAAGCUCAUUUAACUAUCUUUAAAACUCAAUUCAAUCAUUUAACUAUCCUUGAAACUCAAGCGGGGGGGGUGCGUGUGUUCAAUCUCUUUGUUGUGACUGAGAUUCAGCGAAAAAUUGUGUAUUUGCAACAGAUUAAGUAAGUGUUGGGUUCAUAGUAAAUGAGAAGUGUGAAUAGAAAAUGGAGAAAAAACAAGUGGAAGAGAAAAAUUGAGAUCACACCAAUAUGAAAAGUAUACUCAAAAAUAGGAAAGCUUACUAAAUUCUCCCACAUUGGUGAGAGAAAGAAGCUUUAAAGUGUUUAUAUUGUGAAACACACUCCCACAUGGAUAAGUGAGGCAAGGAAUAAGAGAUGCCUCUCGCCGUCGUCGUCGCUAGCUCGGCCUCGGCUUCGGAUUUGGAUUUGGAUUUGGAAAAUGAUCGAUGAGAUCUAUCUUUUUGGACAAACUUUAUUUGAAUUCCGAAGAAUGCCAAGGAAAAACGCAGUAAAUUUUUACUACAGAGUUUCGGAACCCCAUUUAUAUACAAGCAACAUCCAGUAACAGUUAGACAGUAACAGAUGCAAUGGUUUGAACAAGAAAUGUUUCGAACUGAUAUUUAGUUUCAGAAGGAUGCAAUCCUUCUGAAAAUGACACAAUGUUUCGUGAACUGACAUGACUGUUUCGGAACAAACACAUUGAUUCGCAUGAAAUGACAUGACUGUUUCAGAACAAACACACUCCUUGAUGAACAGACAUGAAUUUACAGAAAAGGUGCAACCUUUGAAGUGAACCAUUGCCUCUUUUCAAAAGAGGCAUGUUAUGGCUAUAAAAAACUGCUUUCUUCCACAGGUUUUGGGACGAAAAUUUCAGAAUAAAAAAUACUUCUUGUCUUCCAAAUUACUCUGUGUGAUCAAUCGAAACGUUCUGUGCGUUCGAAGAUAUUCCAACCGUUUGAGGUACCGCUACAGUUGGUCUGUUUAGCCAUUUUACCCUAGGGAGGAAAAAUUCCACAACCUCGAGUACAGUGAGGGGGGAUUAUUUCCGUAAGAAAACUCCGUGAAUUCGGAUAACUUGGCUAUUUUCUCUUUCAUCUAUUUUUCUGAAAAAUAAAAUACACCUCUUGGAAAGGUCAUUUUGAUCUUGUGUUAAGGGUAUUUUUCAUUGUUUUCUUGUUUAUAAACUUGAACUACCUGAGAUUGUUGUUCUGCAUAUACAGAUUUUGUGUACCUGAAGUACAAAGCUGUCGAAAGAAGGUCAAAGGGGAAUUCUACAAUUAAUGGAGCACAUAUUGUAGAAGAUGAUCAAAACAAUUCCAAGAAAAGGAAGAAAGCUGAACAAGGAAGCAAUCAACCCAAGAAAAAAUUCAAGGGAAAAUGCUUCAACUGUGGCAAGAUUGGCCACAAGUCCACAGAUUGUCGUGCCCCAAAGAAAGGCAAGAAGAAGGAUCAAGCAAAUAUGAUUGAAUCCAACAAAGAAUGCAAUGAUCUGUGCGCUAUGUUCUCAGAAUGCAACUUAACGGGGAAUCCUCGUGAAUGGUGGAUGAAUUCUGGUGCCACCCGCCAUGUAUGUGCCAACAAGGAGUUGUUUUCGUUAUUCGCUCCGGCUCAAGUAAAAGAAAUGAUCUACACAGCUAACUCCGCGACGGCUAGGGUAGAAGGAACAAGAAAAAUUUGCUUAAAGAUGACUUCCGGAAAGGUCUUGACACUUAACAAUGUCUUGUAUGUACCGGAGUUACGUAGGAAUUUAAUUUUUGUUUCACUUCUAGACAAGAACGGAUUCAAAUGUGUAACCGUUUCUGGAAAAAUUGUAAUUAGCAAAGGAGAAAUGUAUGUAGAAAAAGGCUAUCUGACCAAAGGCCUUCAUAAGAUGAAUGUAAUGACUAUUGAAAUAAAUAAAAGUUCAAAUUCUUCUUAUUUGCUUGAGUCUUAUGAUUUAUGGCAUGAACGUUUAGGCCAUGUUAAUUACAAAACNNNNNNNNNNNNNNNNNNNNNNNNNNNNNNNNNNNNNNNNNNNNNNNNNNNNNNNNNNNNNNNNNNNNNNNNNNNNNNNNNNNNNNNNNNNNNNAUUGCACUAGAUAUUGUUAUGUCUACUUGCUAAAUAGUAAGGAUGAAGCAAUAGAUGUGUUUAGGCAAUAUAAAACUGAAGUUGAAAAUCAGUUAGACAAAAAGAUCAAAAUGAUAAGAAGUGAUAGGGGCGGAGAAUAUAAAUCUCCCUUUGCGCAAAUAUGUGUAGAAAAUGGAAUAAUCCAUCAAACUACGGCCCCAUAUUCAACUCAAUCUAAUGGAAUUGCGGAAAGGGAAAACCGGACUUUGAAGAAAAUAAUGAAUGCGUUACUUAUAAGUUCUGGUUUACCGCAAAACUUAUGGGGGAGGCUAUCCUUACGGCCAAUCGUAUACUCAAUAGAAAGACACAAUCAAUUCCUUACGAAAAAAUGGAAAGAAAAGAAACCCAACUUGAAAUAUUUCAAAGUGUGGGGGUGUCUAGCGAAGGUUCAAGUUCCUAUACCUAAAACGGUUAAGAUAGGACCUAAAACGGUGGACUGCGUGUUCAUAGGAUAUGCUAAAAGUAGUAAAGUAUGUGUCGAUUUUUGGUUCAUAAAUUCGAAUAUCCGGAUAUUAGUGAAAAUGUGGUAAUUGAAUCAGACAAUGCUGAAUUCUUUGAAAACAUUUACCCAUAUAAAACUAGACAUGAAUAGUCUAGUGGAGGAUCUAAACGACCUCGAGAUGAACCAAGUGAGAAUGUACAUAAUGAAGAAAAUCCAAGACAUACUACACGUCAAAGAACGUCAACUUCGUUUGGAUCGGAUUUUGUAAGAUUUCUCUUAGAAAAUGAGCCUCAAACAUUUAAAGAAGCGAUGUCGUCGUCAGACUCAUCCUUUUGAAAAGAGGCAGUCAAUAGUGAGAUACAUUCAAUCUUAAGCAACCAUACAUGGGAAUUGGUUGACCUUCCUCCCGAAAAUAANNNNNNNNNNNNNNNNNNNNNNNNNNNNNNNNNNNNNNNNNNNNNNNNNNNNNNNNNNNNNNNNNNNNNNNNNNNNNNNNNNNNNNNNNNNNNNNNNNNNNNNNNNNNNNNNNNNNNNNNNNNNNNNNNNNNNNNNNNNNNNNNNNNNNNNNNNNNNNNNNNNNNNNNNNNNNNNNNNNNNNNNNNNNNNNNNNNNNNNNNNNNNNNNNNNNNNNNNNNNNNNNNNNNNNNNNNNNNNNNNNNNNNNNNNNNNNNNNNNNNNNNNNNNNNNNNNNNNNNNNNNNNNNNNNNNNNNNNNNNNNNNNNNNNNNNNNNNNNNNNNNNNNNNNNNNNNNNNNNNNNNNNNNNNNNNNNNNNNNNNNNNNNNNNNNNNNNNNNNNNNNNNNNNNNNNNNNNNNNNNNNNNNNNNNNNNNNNNNNNNNNNNNNNNNNNNNNNNNNNNNNNNNNNNNNNNNNNNNNNNNNNNNNNNNNNNNNNNNNNNNNNNNNNNNNNNNNNNNNNNNNNNNNNNNNNNNNNNNNNNNNNNNNNNNNNNNNNNNNNNNNNNNNNNNNNNNNNNNNNNNNNNNNNNNNNNNNNNNNNNNNNNNNNNNNNNNNNNNNNNNNNNNNNNNNNNNNNNNNNNNNNNNNNNNNNNNNNNNNNNNNNNNNNNNNNNNNNNNNNNNNNNNNNNNNNNNNNNNNNNNNNNNNNNNNNNNNNNNNNNNNNNNNNNNNNNNNNNNNNNNNNNNNNNNNNNNNNNNNNNNNNNNNNNNNNNNNNNNNNNNNNNNNNNNNNNNNNNNNNNNNNNNNNNNNNNNNNNNNNNNNNNNNNNNNNNNNNNNNNNNNNNNNNNNNNNNNNNNNNNNNNNNNNNNNNNNNNNNNNNNNNNNNNNNNNNNNNNNNNNNNNNNNNNNNNNNNNNNNNNNNNNNNNNNNNNNNNNNNNNNNNNNNNNNNNNNNNNNNNNNNNNNNNNNNNNNNNNNUGUUUGGGGUAUCUUAAAUACACUCAAGACUAUACCUUGCAUUAUAAUAAAUAUCCUGCGGUACUUGAAGGAUAUAGUGCUGCAAAUUGGAUCACCGGAUCGAACAAAGUACAAUCCAUAAGUGGAUAUGUAUUUACUAUCGGUGGAGGAGCAGUUUCUUGAAAAUCAUCCAAACAAACUUGUAUCGCUCGCUCUACAAUGGAAUCUGAACUUAUCGCAUUAGAUAAAGCCGGUGAAGAAGCAGAAUGGCUCCGGAAUUUCUUGGAAGAUAUUCCGUAUUGGCCCAAGCCAGGGGCACCAGUAUGUAUACACUGUGGUAGCCAAGCGGCAAUAAGUAGGGCAGAGAGCAUGAUGUACAACGGUAAAUCUCGUCACAUACGACGGAGACAUAAUACCGUUAGAAAACUUCUCUCUAGUGAAAUUAUCACUAUUGACUAUGUAAAGUUAAAGGAUAAUGUGUCGGAUCCACUUACAAAAGGCCUAUCUAGAGAAGGAGUGGAAAGAACAUCCAAGGGAAUGGGUUUAAAGCCUAGGACGAGUCAACAUGGCGGUAACUCUAACUAGCAGACUGGAGAUCCCAAGAGCUAGGUUCAAGGAGAUCAAACAAAGUUGUGUCUGACAACAUUGUCAAUUACCCAACCCAUUCUCAUGAUGUAGACAAUAUAUAGUAAACUAGGAUAAGACUUAAGGUGAAAAGUCUUUUAAUGAUUAUCUAAAUUUGACAGAUUUGACCAAACAGUUUAAUCUACAGGAUUGAACGUUUAGAAAUCACCUAUGUGAGGGCGAAGUGGAAGCCGCUUCAAAAAGAAUGUUAGUAAAGGCCUAUUCUCAAAGCUCUCAUGAAACCAAGACGUGUUCAUGGUUGAAAAGAACAAAACCACGAGAACCAUAAACGUUAAAAGGUUGGUUGUGUGACAUGUAUUGUUUAGGUGUACAUUAAAGCUCGACGGUUCGAAGAUAUCAAAUCUACCGAUUGACCGAGUGCAUCCGAUGCAUGUUCACUACGGAAAGUUCAAGGAAAACCCACUUAUCCAGAUGCAAUCAGUCUUUGCUUGAUGAUCACGUACUUAUCCGUAAAACUUUUACGAAAAAUAAUCAUUCCUCAUUCAUGUGGGGGAUUGUUGGGUUCAUAUAGUAAAUGAGAAGUGUGAAUGGAAAAUGGAGAAAACCAAAUGGAAGAGAAAAAUUGAGAUCAUACCAAUAUGGAAAGUAUACUCAAAAAUAGGAAAGCUUACUAAAUUCUCCCACAUUGGUGGGAGAAAGAAGCUUUAAAGUGUUUAUAUUGUGAAACACACUCUCACAUGGAUAAGUGAGGCAAGGAAUAAGAGAUGCCUCGUGCCAUCGUCGUCGUUGCUCGCUCGGCUUCGGAUUUGGAUUUGGAUUUGGAAAAUGAUCGAUCGAUGAGAUCUAUCUUUUUGAAAAAACUUUAUUUUUACUGCAGAGUUUCGGAACUCCAUUUAUAUACAAGCAGCAUGCAGUAACAGUGAAACAGUAACAGAUGCAAUGGUUUGAACAAGAAAUGUUUCGAACUGAUAUUUAGUUUCAGAAGGAUGCAACCCUUCUGAAAAUGACACAAUGUUUCGUGAACUGACAUGACUGUUUCGGAACAAACACAUUGAUUCGCAUGAAAUGACAUGACUGUUUCAGAACAAACACACUCCUUGAUGAACAGACAUGAAUUUACAGAAAAGGUGCAACCUUUGAAGUGAACCAUUGCCUCUUUUCAGAAGAGGUAUGUUAUGGCUAUAAAAACCUGCUUUCUUCCACAAGUUUUGGGACGAAAAUUUCAGAAUAAAAAAUACUUCUUGUCUUCCAAAUUACUUUGUGUGAUCAAUUGAAACGUUCUGUGCGUUCGAAGAUAUUCAACCGUUUGAGGUACCACUACAGUUGGUCUGUUUAGCCAUUUUAUCCUAGGGAGGAAAAAUUCCACAACCUCGGGUACAGUGAGGGGGAUUAUUUACUUAAGGAAACUCCGUGAAUUUGGACGACUUGGCUAUUUUCUGUUUCAUUUAUUUUUCUGAAAAAUAAAAUACACCUCUUAGAAAGGUCAUUUUGAUCUUGUGUUAAGGGUAUUUUUCAUUGUGUUCUUGUUUAUAAACUUGAACUACCUGAGAUUGUUGUUCUGCAUAUACAGAUUCUGUGUACCCGAAGUACAAACGAAAAAUAACAGUAAAAUCGUGGGAUAAUAGGUCGAAUUCAAAGUUUAAGUGUCUUUUUGAAAAUCCCGGCCAACAUAGGGGGUAAUUAUGUAUUUACUCUAAAAAAAAAAUAAUGUGACAUGGCAUUCUAUUAGGAGAGAGAAGAAUGUUGGUAUUGUGUCAAGUAUAUUUUGAGGAAAAUAGGAAUAGUUGAGUGAUAUUGUGGUCCUAAAAAAAUAAAAGUGAUAUUAUUAGGCAAAUUCCCAAAUAUGGGUGAUUAUUUAGGGAAUUUCUCCCAUAAUGAUAAAGUUGAGACAAAACCACAAGUCAGUGACCAUCAAAUCCUUCAGAUCAGUUAAACUAAGUAUUUUGAACCGAGUAACUACAAGUUUAUCAACAAGAAUUCAGCAGCAAUUGUGCUGGCAUAAGUUCCGGAUUCAUAAGCAUAUGUAUGUAUCGGGUUCAUCCGAAUUGAUAUGUGUUAAAUGAGUGUAAUUGAGAAAUUAAAUGAGCAUCUAGGUGUUAGUUAGGUUACCUCCAAGGCUUUGGAAGGUUGAAGCCAUUGUUGAGGAACCCUAAGAUCUUCAAUUAACUGAUCAGAGCCGUAGUCUCCAUUGCUUUGAGCAUUUAAAAGCCAGAAUCUUGUCCUAAUUCUAUCGCCAGAAGAAAAUCGACGUCGCUCAAAAAAUGGGCGCAUCGUUUCACUGUGAUAAUAAUAUUGACUUGUGAUUGUUCUGAUCUUUUUGACGCUAACAUCAACUUGUGCUACGCCAACACAGUAACAGCUCCACACUGAGAGCAAUGGCCACGCCAUUUUAUGUUUUGGAUAAACAACACUGAACAAAAUAAUAAGGGAAUGUUUGGAAAUUAGGAAAUAGGAAAAUAUGUUUCUCCAGACACAAAUGCAUUAUAUAAAUUGAAAUAUUACAGAUAGUGAUAAAGAAAUUACUAGUAAUAACUUGUGAUGUCACUAAUCCUCCGUUUGGAUGGUGGUUUUCCACGGUACAAUAUGGUAUUGUUAUUAAGAGUCAUAAUUAUUUGAUUUUACUUAAAAUCUAUGGUAUGAUAUGAUUUAAUUUUAUAGUUUGGUAAACAUGAAAAACCCCGUUUUACAUAAUCACCAAUUUGGUGGUCUCCCGUGAUUUGCUUUUUUUAAUGCGCUUACUUAGUAUUAUAUAAUCCUAUUUUUUCAAUCACCUUAUAUUAUUUAACUUCACCUCCUACUCCGACCCCCUACCCUCAGCCUCAACCCCCCCCAAACCCUCUCACCCAAAUAUUCUUUUAAGAAAAAUAUUUCAAAACUUUGUUCUUACCUGACCCUUAUCUCCAACUCACCUCACCAGCUAUUAGCCGCCCCCCCCNNNNNNNNNNNNNNNNNNNNNNNNNNNNNCCCCCCCCCCCCCCAACCACCACCACACACAAAAAAAAAAUUAUUUUAAAAAAAUAGAACUUUUUUUCUUACCCACACCCCCUACCCUUAUUCCUAUCCCGACCCCCUAUUUCACUACCUCACCGCCUAAUAUUUCUUUUUAAAAAAAAUAAUUUUGUAACCCCGUCACCCUUUAUCAUAUUCAUUUUCAUUAUUUUGUGUUAAAUAUAUAUAAAAGCUUUUCAAUUUUUUUCUAUUUGUGUUACGAACACAAGAAAUAAGUAAGAAAUAAUUUAUUUUUUUGAAAAUAUAUUUUUUUUUAUUUCAUACCGAACAUACCCGUAGCAUACACAACAAAUGCAUUUAAACUUUGUACUUGACGUCGGUAUCACGUCUCAAAACAUCAAAAAGAAAUGAAAUUUGUUACUAUAAAAAAUAAUUUCGAUUAUUUAUUUGAUCUACUAUUUUAUUGACUUUGUUAGAAUUUACAUGAAUUUAAGAACUUAAUAUAUUUACAUGACAUAAUUAUGAUAAAUUAGUAGGAAGAAAAAUAUUUUAUUAACAAUUAUUGAUAAAUUUAAUAUUUAUAAUAAUUAAGGACAUUUUAAUAAACUUAUCAGUUACAAUACAGUAUCAUACUGUCAAAUCAAACAAAUAAAACUACCAUUAAACAACAAUGAAUGAUAUAGUCUAUUCAAACAUUGUAUUGUAUUAUAUUUGUACUAUACCAUACCAUACAAUAUCGUAUAUUAUAAAACCAUGGCAAAUCACCAUCCAAAUAAAGUGUAAGUUGGGGUUUAGGUCACAGGUGACAAAAGAGUUUUAAAAUAAGGUAUGGGUGACACAAGUCUUAAUUAUUAGUUGGAGGUGACAAUUACUUUAUUAUGGAUUAAGAAAGUUGGGAAAAUUUGAAAAUAAUUCACAAGUUUUAAAAUUUACACUUUGAUCCCAAUGUAUACCUAAAAUAACGAAAAACGGAGGGAAAAAGGCAUUUUUCUCUCUCUUCUCAUCCUUUGUUGUUUUCUCUCUCUUAGCGAUUUUUGUUGUUAAUUGUUUUUGUUUCUGCUGUUUUAUUCAUCAUCUUCUGCUUCAUUAUCAUCAUCUUCUACUUCAUUAUCAUCUUCAUCUUCUUCUUGUCGACCAUUUGUUGUUGUUGUUGGUGGUGGUGGUGGUACAGCGCUACUGCUGCGAUCUGACCAAUUUCUUAGGUCAAAUUUUGUUUACUACAUCACUUUCCACUUUGGCAUUACUUAAUAGGUGACUUUGGUAAGUAAAAUUAUGAUUUUUAUUCGUAUUUAUCAUCUGAGUACACUUCUAUUUUUUCAACAUUGGAUAGAACCCCGAUUAUGAAUCCAGCAUAAGUGACCACAAUUUAAAUAGAUCAAUCAUCCGGUGCAUCAGAUGAGUAAUCUGUUGUAUUAGAAGAUUUAUAUGUUGCAUCAGACUGUUUAUCUGUUGCAUCAGACGUAUUAUUUGUUGUAUCAGGAUGUUUAUCUGUUGCACCAGACUAAUUAUCUGUUGCAUCAGAAUGUUUAUCUGUUGCACCAGACUAAUUAUCUGUUAUAACGAAUGAUUAAUCUGUUUGAAACAACACAAAUCAACCCCUGCCACAAACCCAACAGAUAACCAAUAUGUUUUCAACACUUGCUAUUACUACUAGAUUCAAAAUUAUUCCUUACGUCCAAUUACUCAUCCUAAAUUUUCUAAUUCGAUUUCUCAUUUUACUUGUUUUUUUCAUUAAUUAAGAAAAGAUUAAAAAAAAUCAUGUUUUACCCUUUGCAUUAAUAACUUUUUCUUCAAAUUAAAAUGAAAACAUCAUUUAAUAGGGGGACUAUACGCCGACCGAUGUUAAAAGCUUUCUUCUCUUAUGAAAUUUCGAUUGAAUAACAAACAAUGGUUAUUUAAAACACGGCUAAUGUCCCACCAACUUAUCAGUGGGGUAUGGUAAACUAGACAUGUUAUUAAUUAUUUUUCUUAAUCAAUGUGGCAUCUCAAUUUAGGACAGGUAAUUUGAGACGGAGGGAGUACGAAUUAAAACACCAGAGCCAAGCAAAGCAACAAACUAGUCAUCUAUUGAAACAGACUAUUUAUCUGUUGCAUUAACUUCUUAUCUGUUGCAACAUGAGUAAUCUGUUUUGAACAACACAUCAAUCCCUGCCACAAACCUAACAGAUAAAUCUUGCUAUUGCUACUGGAUUCUAAAUUAUUUCUUUUUAUGUCGAAUUGUCGACAUAUUUGUUGAGAAGAUAAUAGACAGAAUGAAAAUUAAAUAUGGAUUAAAACGUCAAAGAUCAAACAUAAUUUAUUAUUAAACAAAAACAAAAAAAAUACAUAUAAUAGACUAAAAGAAAAAUAAUAGUCUAAUUAUUAUUAUUAUUAUCAGCAUCCUCAUUGCCAGCCGGCCAAUCUUCAACCGGAAGUAGCAAGACCCUCUUAAGCCUGCGUAUCUCGCUGAGCAUUCUUGAUCUAACUCCUCCCAGUUCCCAUUGCAGAUCAUAAACUUGAUUCUGAAGUUCAUUCACGGCGUCUUGCAGAAAAGCAACGUCCCAUACUGGGUCAGCCAUAAUCUUAUCUUCUAGAGUGUAAUAUGAAAGAAGAGAUACAAUAAAUAAAUAGAGUGUAUUUGAAUGAACGAUUGAAUAAGAAGGAACUUAUUUAUAAAGGAUUGAAUUUGAAUGAGAGGCAAAAAGGCGCGACUAUUCACCUCCAUACAUUAAUUAUAUUUUUGAUUAAAUUAAGAAAAUAAAUAUUGUGAUAUAAGUCAUGACUUUUCAGAUUAUUAUUAUUAAUUAGUUCUUUUGAAGAACCGUUUUUAUUGAGUUGUGGCAAUAGAUUUUAUAUUUGUUGCAUCAGAUAACACAUCUGUGAUAACAGAUAUAUUAUCUGUUGCAACAAAUAUAAAAUAUGUUGCAUCAGAUAACAUAUCUGUUGCAAUAUAUAAUCUAACUGUUCACCUCCAUUUAUUAAUUACAUUUUUUGUUAAUGUGAAAAGUAAUUAAUUAAUUAAAUUAAGAAAUAUUGUGAUAAGUCAUGACUUUUCAGAUUAUUAUUAUUAAUUAGUUCUUUCCAAGAAUCGAUUUUAUUGAGUUGUGACUCGAUAUGGGUUGCAUCAGAUAAAUCAUCUGUUACAACAAAUAUAUUAUCUGUUGCAACCAUAGCGAACCUCUUGCAUCAGAUAAUUUAAUUGUUGCAACAUAUAAUCUACUUUAAAAAAAAAAAAACUAACUAUCAUCAUAUCAUUAAUCCAAAUUUGCUUACUUUUUUAUUUUAUAAAUUAAAAAAAAAUACCUUUUCAAAUUCCUUAAUAAAAUAAUAACCAUUNNNNNNNNNNNNNNNNNNNNNNNNNNNNNNNNNNNNNNNNNNNNNNNNNNNNNNNNNNNNNNNNNNNNNNNNNNNNNNNNNNNNNNNNNNNNNNNNNNNNNNNNNNNNNNNNNNNNNNNNNNNNNNNNNNNNNNNNNNNNNNNNNNNNNNNNNNNNNNNNNNNNNNNNNNNNNNNNNNNNNNNNNNNNNNNNNNNNNNNNNNNNNNNNNNNNNNNNNNNNNNNNNNNNNNNNNNNNNNNNNNNNNNNNNNNNNNNNNNNNNNNNNNNNNNNNNNNNNNNNNNNNNNNNNNNNNNNNNNNNNNNNNNNNNNNNNCGUCGACAUGUUGAGAACAAGGAAUAAACAGAAUGAUUAUUAUUAAAUACUAAAUAAGAAUUAAAAAUUUAAAGUCGACAACAAAAUGAAAUGAAUGUUCAUAGAUUUUUGAAUUCCUUGGGUAGAUUUGAUAUACAAAAGGAGGAAAAUAAUCGCUAAAAUAAAAAACAUUACCUAAUUAUUAUUACUACUACUAUUAUUAUUGUCAAUCAAACAUUUUUCAUCCGGCAGCCUUGCUCCGAAAUCAGCCAAAUCUCUCUGGAGUUCAUCAAACUGCCUUUGAAGUUUACGCAAGGACUCGAUAUGAAUAUUCUUGUACGAAUCUGGAUCAUCCAUAUUUGUAAGGAGGGACCUAUUUAUAAAUUAUUGUAUAUCGGAUAGAAAAGAAAAUUGCUUUAAAAUAAAUCUAAUAGAUGGGUAAUCUGUUGUAAAAUAUAUUCUUUCUGUGAGAUAACUUACAACAUACUGGCAAUCUUUUACAACAGAUGUAUAUAUCUGUUUAAUUUCUGCAACAGGUUGAUCAACUGUCGUAACAAAUAUCUCCAAUUGUUUGACAAUAUAAACAGAUGUGUUAUCUGUUGCAACAAGCUAGUCAUCAGUUUAUUCAAUUUAAGCCAUAGAUGGUCUAGGAAGAAUAAGGUGCGUGCAGAUGGAUCCACUAUCAUAUGUGUGGAAAUUAAGUAUGUAUUACUGAUAAGGUUACCGGGACAACACACAUAAAGUACAAUAUUUUUGUGAAUGCAGUUUUUAACCGAUUAGCAUUGAUCAUUCAAACAAGAUCCUACAUUGUACCGUUAAGUUUGAUAUGUUCAAAAUUGAUAAGGCUAAGGACCUCAUGAAGAUGGUGCAGAUACCCUGUUAUGAAUUGCUGACGGUUGGUGCUCGUGUUUAUGCGUGUUAAAUUUUGAGAAGGGAUCCAUAUUUGUCGUCACUGCAGAGAACCAAUAGCGAUUGGACUUAAAUUUAAGUGUGCAUUGGACCUUUAAAGGGCCCUCAAAACCUCGCACUGCAUCAAACAAGAAUGGAAAACCAUAUAGUUAUUGCCUUAGCCAAAAUUUAUAUGGUUGGGUUGCUAGCUCGGGGUGAUGAUUAAAUGCCUGAAGGUGCGGUAGGAGAAUGCUUUCGAGGAAAAAUAGGUGGUUGAUGGAAGACUAUAUCAUCUGAGAGCUAAUUGAAGAAGAGACAUAGGGUAUAAAGUAACUUCUAAUGAAUCUGGCCGAUGGAAUUAUCUUAACAGAUGCGAAAUCUGAAUCAAGUGUAAAUAUGAAAGUGUAUCCGGUAAUGUAAUUUCAUCUGUGGUGUCUCUUAAAGAAAAAUAAUGCAUCUGAACACUUUGCUAGGGAGCUGCGUGGUCGGGAUUAUCACCUAGGUAGAAAAUACGAGAAGACCAACAAAGCAGCCUCACAGACAUCGAGGGUAGACAUAAUGUUCAGCAAGUCUAGAAAACUUACGCCAACAACAAUUGCAAUUAAAAUAAGGAAAAUAAGCGAAGGCGGCAAUUUCUGAAUUUUAAAUUUCAUCCCAUGCUUUCUUGUUUGUAUUUUUGAUCAGGUCCACUACCGUUGACCUGAUCGGAACCACAAACGAGAUUGAAAGGCAAAUAGAGUAUAAUUAUUUCCUUAGCAAUAUGGAUUAAUUGAUUGUGUUUUCUUGCCUUAGCAUGAUUUUAACAUUCCUUGGAGAAGAUCAGAUGUUUGCUGUAGUAUGUGAAUCUCGAUAAUUUUCAAGCUUUCCUCCAGCUUGUUGAUUCUGUAUUCAAGCUGGUCAUUGCCGUCUUCGAAGUUGGUAAGGAGUUCCUCGUCUCUUAUGAGCUCGAUCAGGAACACUACCUUUAAAGUUGUGGCAUUCUAGAAGCCCUUCAGAACACGUUCUUCAGAAGCCUUAAAGGAUACAUAGAGGGUCACUGUGUUUGUUUUAGGUCAAAAUGUGUUGAUGCACGUUGAAGAUCUGGUCCCAAUAGUUGAACAACACACUUUUAUAGAGUGUUGCUCCAUGCAUCUUGCUCAACCAAUUUGAUAAAUUAGUAAGCAUUGAGUUACAUAGCAUGUGAUUUAAACCGGCUCUACCAAGCCUAUCAAACGUUACGUAACUCCGAGCUCAUUACCCUAUCAAAAUAACAUGCCCGAGUUAGUGCACAAAUAAAAAAUGCCUAAUCUGUCAGCCUUUCUACUGAUCACUCUUCUCCAAUAUAGAUGACAAGAUAUCUAUUACGCAAAAGUUUACACCAUCGCCAGACAUGCUUGCCUGGGAGCAAUUCUUCAGAAGACAUCAACAAAUAUCUUCAGAAGAAUUGCUUCCAGGCAAACAUGUCUGGCGAUGGUGUAGACUUUUGCAUAGUAGAUAUCUUGUCAUCUAUAUUGAAGAAGAGCGACCAGCAGAAAGGCUAAGAGAUUGAGCUCGUUCGAUUUGUGCACUAACUCGAACAUAUUUUUUUGAUAGAGUAAGGAGCUUAGAGUUAUGUAACAUUUGAUAGGCUUGGUAAAGCCGGUUUAGAUCACACAUUACGUAACUCCAUGCUUACUAAUUUAUCAAAUUGAUUAAGCAAGAUGCAUGGAGCAACGCUCAAUAAAAGUGUGUUGUUCAACUAUUGGUACCACAUCUUCAACGUGCAUCAACACAUUUUGACCUAAAACAAACACAGAGACCCUCUAUGUAUCCUUUAAGGCUUCUGAAGAAAGUAUUCUGAAGGGCUUUUAGAAUGCCACAACUUUGAAGGUAGUGUUCCUAAUCGAGUUCACAAGAGACGAGAAACUCCUUACCAACUUCGAAGAUGGCAACGAUUAGCUUGAAUAUAGAAUCAACAAGUUGGAGGCAAGCUUGAAAAUUAUUGGGAUUCACAUACUAUAGCAAGCAUCUGAUCUUCUCCAAAGAAUGUUGAAAGCAUGUCAAGGCAAGAAAACACAAUCAAUUAUAUCCAUAUUGCUAAGGAAGCAAUGAUACUCUAUUUGCCUUUCAAUCUCGUUUGUUAUUUCGACCAGGUCAAUGACAGUGGACCUGAUCGAAAACACAAACAAGAAAGCAUGGGAUGAAAUUUAAAAUUUAGAAAUUUGCGCCUUCGCUUAGAUUCCUUAUUUUAACUGCAGUUGUUGUUGGCAUAAGUUUUCUAGACUUGUUGUACAUCAUUUCAACCUUCGAUGCCCGUGAGGCUUCUUUGUUGGUCUUCUCCUAUUUUCUAUCUAGGUGAUACUCCCGACCAUGCAGCUCCCUAGCAAAGUGUUCAGAUGCAUUAUUUUUCUUUAAGAGACACAACAGAUGAAAUUACAUUACCGGAUACACUUUUAUAUUUGCACUUGAUUCAGAUUUCACAUCUGUUAAGAUAAUUCUACCGGCCAGAUUCAUUAGAAGUUACUUUAUACCGUAUGUCUCUUCUUCAAUUAGCUCUCAGAUGAUAUAGUCUUCCAUCAACCACCUAUUUUUCCUUGAAAGCAUUCUCCUACCGCACCUUCUGGCAUAUAAUCAUCACCCCGAGCGAGCAACCCAGCCAUAUAAAUUUUGGCCAGGGCAAUAACUAUAUUGGUUUUUCAUUCUUGUUAGAUGCAGUGCUAAGAUUCGAAGGCCCUCUAAGGGUGCAAUGCACCCUAAAAGUUAGUCUAAUCGCUAUUGAAACUCCUUACAAUGACACAAAAACUAGAUCCCUUCACAAUGCUUGACAAAUAAACAUGAGCAACAACCGACAUUAAAUCUUAAGAGGCUAUCAGAAUCAUAUUCAUGCUCCCUCAGCCUUAUCAGUUUGGACCUACCAAACUUAACCAUAAAAUUGCAGACAUCUUGUUUGAACGAUCUAUGACUAAUCAAGAAAAACAUCAUCCACAAAAUUAGUGCACUCUGUGUGUGUUUCUACGAUAACAUUAUCAGUAAUACAUUCCUCCUACAUAUGAAGUGGUUUCAUCUGCAAGCAGCUUAUUCCUCCGAUCCCAUCUUUACUGCAGCCUCUUGCGAUAGUCCGUCAAAAGUCGAUCAACUGUCAGUUCCUUAUAUCUAUAAAAAAAAAAAGAAAAAAAUUGAUGUCACAAAAAGAACAUUAUCCAUCUGUUGCAACAGAUGUGGAGUUUGAUGGAAUACAUCAAACCAGCUUUUCUGGUGGUUUUAUUUGUUCUAACAGUUUCUCCAUCUGUUGCAACAUCAACAACAACAUAAACAUCAAUAAAAAAGAAACAACAACAUUUGUUCCAACAACAUCAUCAAUAACAAAAAAGCAACAUCCUUUGUUCCAGAACCAUCAACAACACCAUACCACAAGAUCCAACAACGCCAACCCCACCAACAACAUCAAUAACUGCAUCAAUAAUAAUGAAACAAACAAAAUAUAUACAAAAAAAAAUGAUACUGCCAACAAGACUUUUAAACUUCUCCCAACAAAUGACUUUUUUCUCAUAUUGUAAUAAAAAUUCUCAGAUUAUUUAUUCAACACUUACAAGUUCCUUAAAUUUUUUUAAUAAAUAUGAUAUGGGUAAAUAGUAAUUAAAUAAAAAAAACAGAUGUAAAUAACUUGCAAAGAAGAAGACGAGAAUGAAAGAGCAAUAAUGAAACAUACCUUAAUAUAAAAAAGGGGAUCAAAACAAAAAUUUAAAUGGAGAAAAGAUAUGAAUAGGUUUAGAUCCGAAAAGAUCUUUAUGAGAAGAGAAGAGAAAAAUGAGAAAAAAGACUGUGACCCUAUAGAGGAGAGAGAAAAAGAUGAGAGUUGAAUAAAAUAAACUGCAGCUGAAGGAAGAGAUAAGAUAAUUUCUAUAGAUGUAUUGUGUACGUAGACAUGGUGGUUUUCAAUAUUCAUUAAUUAAUAUUUAUUAAUUUCAUUAAUAAUUUGAGGGGCACACAGAAGACUAGGACUACUGACAUUGUAAAGACAAAACAAGACUGCUAUUUUACCGCCUUUAGUAGUAAGUACUACUACUUGAUAUUAUCAACUCGAACCAGAAGCUUCUUGCUUUAAAAUUAAAAGAGAAAAAAAGAUUUUCAAACAAAUAUGUCAUCUGUUGCAACAUAUAUAAAUAUUUGUUUAGAAAUCCGAACAUCUCAGUCAUCUGUUACAACAGAUAUAAAUAUCUAUUUAAAAAUCCCAACAGCUCAGUCAUCUGUGACAAUAGAUAAAAAUAUUUAUUUGAUAAUUAAUAAAAUCAAAUAUGUCAUCUGUUACAACAGAUAAAUAUCUGUUUGAAAAUUUCCAACAGCUUAGUCAUCUAUCACAACAGAUGCAAAAAUCUAUUUGCUAAUUAAAUCAGAUAUGUCAUCUGUUGCAACAUAGAUGUACCUAUUUGAAAUUUUCAACAACUUAGUCGUUUGUUGCAACAGAUUUCAUUGCAAUUGAUUUAGGUGAAACUAGGGAUGAAUGAAUGAUCUCGCAAGGUCAACUACAAAUUCAAUCAAGUCUUUGCAAUUACAUGGCGUUGGUAUUGCGUUUAUCCCGACCCGAGUCGUCGAUCAAUUACUCUGAGUUUAAAUGAGUUCUCAUCAACUCAAUGUUAGGAUAGUGAUAGUACCUAAGUUGAUUUAGGUGGAACUAGGGAUGAAUAAGCUCGCAGGAUCAACUAGAAAUCCAAUCGAGUCUUUGUAAUUGCAUGGCAUUGGUAUUGCGUUCAUACCAAUCCGAGUCGUCGAUCGAUCACUCUAAGUUGAAAUAAGUUCUCAUCAACUCAAUGUUAGGAUAGUGAUAGUACAUAAAUUGAUUUAGGUAGAACUAGAGAUGAAUGAAUGAGCUUGCAGGGUCAACUACAAAUCCAAUUGAGUCUUUGCAAUUGCAUGGCAUUGGUAUUGCGUUCAUCCCGACCUGAGUCAUCGAUCGAUCAUUCUGAGUUGAAAUGAGUUCUCAUCAACUCAAUGUUAGGAUAGUGAUAGUACCUAAGUUAAUUAAGGUGGAACUAGAUAUGAAUAAAUGAGCUCGCAGGGUCAACUACAAAUCCAAUUGAGUCUUUGCAAUUGCAUGGCGCUGGUAUUGCAUUCAUCCCAACCCGAGUCAUCGAUCGAUCACUCUGAGUUGAAAUGAGUUCUCAUCAACUCAAUGUUAGGAGAGUGAUAGUACCUAAGUUAAUUAAGGUGGAACUAGAUAUGAAUAAAUGAGCUCGCCGGGUCAACUACAAAUCCAAUCGAGUCUUUGCAAUUGUAUGGCGUUGGUAUUGUGUUCAUCCCGUCUCGAGUCAUCGAUCGAUCACUCUGAGUUGAAAUGAGUUCUCAUUAACUCAAUGUUUUAAAAACUAUAUCUUUUAAAAAUUUUAAAAUUAAUUAAGAUCAAUUCGGACCAAAUUAGCAAUUUUAAAACUUGUCAUUCUUUUCCAAAAUUACAAAUCAUCCAUUUGCGCAAAAAACUUUUCAUUUUAAAUCUUAAGUUCUCGCUCUUCUCUCUUUCUCUCUCUCGGGGUGUCCUCUCCCUCUCAACAAUAUAAACAACAACUACUCAACAUAUUGCUCAACCCUUAAAAACAAGUCGAUUUUCUACCCAUUUACGACUACAUAUAGUUGUUUUUUUUGACUUAAUUCCCGCUUGUAUCCGUUGUUUUCUCUAUCCUUGCAUGGAACAGAGUUCGAGAAGAGUUCUACAUUUUUUCUUUAUUCUAAAAAAUAGGGAUUUUUAGUUAAUGAUUAAAAAAAAGACUUUUAGUUGUAUUAUCUUCGAGAAUGGGUUAACAAUUUUGAGUUUUGAUGCUUUAAAAGUAGGAAGAACCCAAGAAAACCCUAGUUUUUCUCUCAGUAUUUUGUUGACUAUCGUGGUAUUUUUGGAUGGUGUUUGUAGUGUUGUUGGUGGUUGUUGUUGGUGGUGGUGGUAUUUGUGUUUUUUGGAGGUGGUGUCGGUGGUCUUGGUGUUGGUAUUGGUGGCAUUGAUGGUGGUUUUGGUGGCAUUGGUUAUGGUGGUGGUGUUCCAUCUGUUGCAAUGGGUGAAAGAUCUGUUGGGGGAUAUUAAAUAGGUCUUUAAACAAAUUCCCCAUCUGUUCCAACUGAUGGGUUAUCCGUUGGAGUAUUUUCUUAUAAUGUGGCAUAGAAUAAUUUAUUGAAAUUUCUCCACCUGUUGCAACAAGUGAAAUAUAUGUGGGGAGAUAUUAAAUAGGUAUUCAAACAGAUUCGGGUUCCCCAUCUGUUCCAACUGAUGGGUUGUCCAUUGAAGUAUUUUUUUUGGGUUAUGUGGUAAGAAUAAUUUAUUUAAAUUUGUCUCACCUUUUUUAAAAAAUGUAUGCAGACAUCAAUUGCAAUGUAUUUUUUGUUUUUCUUUUGUUUGUAGUUAAAAGAUGUCUCCCAAAAGAAAAGAAACUGAAAGUGGGUCAAUUUACGAUCACCAAACAAAAAAGGCUAGAGUACAGAUAGAUUCAGAGAAACUUUCAGAACAAUCUCAGUCAGGGCAAAAUGAAGCCGAGGAAAAUGAUAACUCCUCCUCACCAAUUGAGCAUAAAAUAAUAUCGAAAUUCCAGCAUGAUUCUGUCAAAACCAUUAGUAUUGACAAGUUUUGAGUCGUGAUGCCGAUGAAUAACCCUAAUACAGUAUUUGGUGAUCUUGUACUUAAAUGUCAGUUGGGGAAACCUUUUGACGAACUUAGGAGUAUUAUGAAGGAGGAAAACAUAGAUGGACUUUUUAAGAAGAGCUGCUUUGUGCACUUUCUUGAGCUGUCUGGGCCCUGCCCUCUCCGUUUCCCAAUGAUCAUGGUAUAUGGCCUUUGUCAAGUGUAGGAUCAUGUAUGCGGAGGAUGAUGGAGGUUCAAAGUAGGGCUAAAAUAAGAUGGAUGAAGUUUGGAUCAACUACUGUGCAUGUCUGUUUGUUUUGGAUUGAAAGAGUUUGCCACUGUGACGGGCUUGACAUGUGAUCGUCCAGAACCUGUCAUCAAGAAAACACCCCACAAAGGGUCCAAUAAACGCAAGGUAAAAAAAGAUAGGUUGUUGGGCAUUGAUGUACCUAGCUAUAAAGUGAAGGAUUUGAUAGCGGAUCUCAAGAAUAAAGACAUACCAAAGCACUACAGGGAGAAAUUGUGCUUAGUUUGGAUUGUCCAUUCUGUUUUAUUGGCAAGAGACGUCAAGAAAGUCAUAGAACGUGAUUUGUUGGUGCUUGCUGAUGAUUUGAAGAAAUUCAACGAUUAUCCCUGGGGCUACGAUAGCUACUACUUAACUGUCAAAUAUUUACUAAAAGAUCUAAAGCCAAAGACGACCACAUUAUACGACUUUUCUUGGGCUUUCAUGGUAAAAUUGAUCACUAUUGUUACUCAUUCAUUAAUUUAUAUGGAAUAUACUUGUGACUUUUUUUUUUGCUUGCUUCCUGUUUACAAUUUUUAGGCUUGGACAUGUGAAGCCAUUCCUUCCCUCCGAAAGCAUUUCACGGAUUACCUGGAUAAGGUUUCUCAUCCAAGGAUCCUUAGGUGGUUGGCUGCAGUAGAGAGCAGCAAAAAAAAUAUUAAUGAGGCUGAUCUCUUUAACCCUCCAGAUGAUGCAGUACGUCUUCUUUCAACUAAAAUAAUUUGCCUCAAAGAAAGAUAUUAAAAUAGAUGUUCCAUCUGUUGCAACAGAUUACUCGUCAACUGUAAUUGGUGCAAUAGAUGGGUAAUCUGUUGCAAUAGAUGAUCCAUAUUUCGCAUACAUUAACCAUAUGUUGCUCCGUUCUUUGAACCCUACUCAAUAGAUUACCCAUCUACAAUAAAUUAUGCAACGGAUGGGUAUUCUGAUGCAACAUAUUAUCAAUCUGUUUCAACAUACAGAUCAGCUGUUGCAUAAGUUGGCUGUGUUAAUAUAACCCGAGCCCCAUAUAACCCAACUGACUAUAAAUUAUUAUUAUAUAAUUUAAAUUCCUCCUGUCAUUUUUUUACAGGUUGUGCAUCAUUGGAUCGUGCCUACCAUUGAUGAGCUGGGGAUGACUUCUUUUCUGACUUCUUUUCUUACUCUGGGUCUUGUUGAUACAAAAAAAACCCAACGAUGGAGUUAAUAAAGAAGGAAUUGGAUAGAGCAAUAUCCAUAAGAAGAGCAGUUAGGCAAGGUCAGUCUAAUGUUGAAGCUCUUCACGACCAAACUCAAACUGCAACAAAUUCGGGUGCUUCUUCUGGGGGUGUUUCUGGUGGAGUUAUUUGUGAUGGUAGCAGCCAUCCUGCUACUGCUUCUGCUGGCAGUUGUGAUAAUGAGCAUGUUGGUGCUCAGCAAAAAAUAAAUAUAUUUGAAAAUACCCCUUACACAGGUCCUCCCUCUUACCCCUGCACCAGUCCCUCCCACCCUUACAGUGGUCCCUCUUACCCCUCUUCACCCUUAUGUUCUCAUUGCAAGUGCAAAGUGUGCAAGGACAGAGAGGAUAAACUCCUCGACAAGAUAGAGGCUAUUGCUGAAGCUACCAAGGAGUUGAAAUCUAGGAGGGGUGUCAUACCAUCCAACAAGGUGAGGGAUCUAUGCACUCCUAUAGUGGAGGUUAGGAGAAAGAGAAGAAAAAUUAGACAAAUUCUCUUCGUUCUGAAAUCAGCAAAAAUUGCAACUUCUCCCGCUCAAAUAGUUAUUGAAGUUCAGGGUUCGUCGAAGAAGGUGGACAUAUUCACGGCGCUUGGCAAGGAAAAGAAGAAAGAACUGGAAGAAUUCAUCAAGAUGAAGGUUAAAAAAGAAUACACCAUGCAUUCAUUUGCCGCCAAAGACUUCUCGAAUAUGACAAAUAUGUGUGUGUGGUACGAGGAUAAGGUAAGUUUACUUUUUCUAACCAACCCUUCCAAUAUACUCCAUGAAAAAAAAUCUACGCAGCAGAUGUGUAAUCUGUUGUGAAAACUUGGUAUUCUGUUGCAACAUAAUACACAUCUGUUGCAUAGUUGCGUUGGCUGGGUAAUUUGUGUAUUGAUUCAGAGAACCCUCUGCAUCGGAUUCUUUUGACUGUGUUUUUAUCCUUUACAAUUACCAACCUAUUUAAAAAUUGUUUUCUUAUACCACAAUACGUUGAUGAAAUUCUCUGCCUCAUGAGGGGCAGGCAAUUAGCGUACCCGGAUGCUUAUGAUGCUGCCGAUAAGAUAAUGGACCUUAACUUCUACAAUAAUUUCAAGGAUAGGUACGCUAAACUCUGUAAGAUAGCUGAUUUCGGUGUCCCAAGAUUUGAUCAGUUAGUUUCUACGUUCCAAUGGGAUGAAGAAGCGAUUAAAUAUGCUAGAGGGAAGAGGUCAUAUCCACACGGCAAGAGCUGGACCAAGGCAAAGAGAAUCCUUGCAGUCAUGAAUGUGGAUGUCACCCAUUUUCUCACUUUUGAGAUACCACUAUACGAUGGAAAGAUUAAGGUUUAUGACUGCAACUUACUUGUGUUCAGUGAGAAGACAUUUUUAACCCACAUGCGGCCACUCUUGAAGUUGUUGCCCAAGUUGUUGACGCAGAGUAAGCUGAUGGAUCAUUUGCCGGCUGAAGUCUUGGCGAAGGAAUCAUGGGUUUUUGAAGGUCGAAAUAAGAACAUCUAGCUCCCAAAAAAUAUAAUCGGUGCAACGUACGGGCCGUACUCGCUUGCAUAUAUCGAGUGUUUGCUGACCGAUACACAAAUGACCCGUGUGUACGAUACCAUUAUGGGAAAGAUGCAAUGGGUCUAGGCGUAUGGGAAAUGGUUGGAGCCCGUGUAUAAAAAAGAACAUGUACAAGACAGAGACAAACACGAUAAUAAAUUUUUAUUUCAAGCCAAUUCACUAUACAUGUAGGGGCAGUAAUUUUUAUGUCUGGCCAAGUUGAUUUUUUAUAAUACAACAGAUUUUAUAUCUUUCAUAACAGAUAUAGUACCUGUUGUGACAGAUUGAUUAUCUGUUGGAAUAGGUUGGUCAUCUAUUGCGUUAUGCAGAUGUUCUCCGUCUAUCUAUCGCAACAGAUUUAUGAUCUAUUGCAACAUAUAACUUAUCUGUUACAACUGAUCGGUAAUCUGUUGGAGCAAAUCAAAAAAGUAGAAAUACCAAUUAUAUAAUUUCCAGCAGAUGACCUACGUGUUGUAUCUCAUGUUGCAACAUAUGUCUAAAUCUGUCUGAUAAGAUAUGUCGCCUGUUGCAGCAGAUCUAUUAUCUAUUGCGAUAUUUGAAUCUAGUACUCUAUUUCAAUUAACAUGUUCAAAACUCCGAGUUAAUUAUAUUCAUAGACAGAAUAAAAUAAAUCGAAGCCUUUGAAAAUUACAUGAAAUGACUCAACAAAUAAAUAAAAUGUAAAAAAAAUCAUUAUGGAUACAAACGAACUACUCUACAAAUAAAUCAACAAGUUAAACCAAGGAGGAUAGGUUAUUACAUUGACGGACUUAAGCUAUAAAUAUCUAAUCAAUAUGGAUAAGUUGUUCUUCAUCCAGUGCUAUGAAAUUCGGCUUUGGUCGUCGUGGAUCUUUAACGUCGGUUGCGUAUGGUUUCUGAGCUUUCGCUUCUCCAUAUUUCCAUAAAAGAGUAGCAUAUCUUUUGCGGAGUAAUCCGACAUCAAGUCCAUCAUUUGAUACUUGUAAUCCAUCGCUCAAAUACUCAAUAUAGGCGGCAACAAAAGGACCGCAAUCCCUGCGUUAUAAAAAACAGAUAAUCCAUAUCUUGCAGUUCAUGCAAACGUUGUGAAAUUUGUGAAAUGAAACUAAAUCAUGAUACUUAAACUUACAGUCUAUCAAUGGUUUGUUGAGCAAUUCCAUCAACAUAUUGUACAUCAAAUGGAUUAGCCAUUUUAUCCCGGUAUGCUUCAAUCGUCGACCAAUCAGUACGAACCUUUCGAUGCAAAAAGCCACUCAUAUCAAGGUAAGUAGGCAACAUUUUGGCUAGCUUUUGUAUCUCAGACGACGGACCGAAACGUCUCCUUCACGAUAUUGAGUCAUAAACUCGGAUGCGCCUCUUUUUUAGAACGACGACAACCAACAUCCAAUGGAAUUCAUCACCACAAUUGAUUGGGAUGUAUACUUCAUCGACCAAAUGCCAAGGUAAGCCAACCAGAAUGCUAAAACCUUUGAUGAUGUUGAUUAAGUAUUCCUCGUUUUGAGAAACUUCCGAUUGCUGUUGACAAUACCUAUCGUAGGCAUUAUUGAUGUAAACUUUGUACAAAUAAUUUCCUGUUGUGUAUCUGUAUUAUUCUUUUGUUUGAAACUUGGCCUACUUUCAGAGGUAGUAAAAAAUGACAUCAAUGUGCUGCACAUAUUAUCAAAUAUUUUGAAUUACAUGAUGAAAAAAUCAAUACGCAGAUGUAAUUAAAUAAAGUAUUAAUUAAUAGUAAUAUGUAUAGCAUUUAAACCUCAUCAUUCCAGUGAGUUUGGGGCUGUGACAUCAAAUAGAACCAAUUCCUUAUUCCGGGAUGUGCAACAACAAAGUCGAACAUAUCAAAACCAAGACUCGAUUCGUUCACUUUGUAGCGCUUGUCAUUUUGUUUUCUACAUGAUGAUUUAUAUGUGUUAAUGUCAGGUUCUUACAACAAGAAUUGUAUAAACCAAUAUCCAUAAAAUUCAUUUAUGUACCUGCUGGCAUGAUGCUUUAACAGCCCAUCGAUAAUCCAUUCUGAAUAGUCGUUGAUCAACUGUGUUAGUUUUUUGGAGCCUCGUCCGAGAUAUUGAACCCUUCAAACGGGAAAUUCUUCCAUUCUCCCAAACUAACAAGCUCCACUUUUUCUUCAUCUUUGGAAGCAGUUGAUGGAUUAUCAACUGUCAUAUUAUGCUCUUCGGCAGUAGCUGUAAUAUCCACCUGGAAAGCUAGAAUUGUCAAUGUUAAGUAGAGAUAUACAACAAAUUUUCCAUCUGUUACAACAGAUGAGUCUUAUGUUGCAUCAGAUGGAUUAUCUGUUGGGAUAAAUUCGAACAGGUAAAAUCAGAGCAGUACGAUAAUUUCAAACAGAUGACCCAUCUAUUGCAACAUCAGACUCAUCUAUUAAAACAGAUAAUGAAUUUGAUGCAACAGGUCAGACAACAGUUGCAACAGAUGUAUAUAUCUUUUUGAUAAUUUUUAGCAGAUAUAUCAUCUGCUGAAACAGAUAUGUGCCUAUUUGUUUUUUGGAACAGAUGAUGUACAUUCACCUUCUUCAGCUCAUGCUGCUCUUCUGUGGACCUUGUACACUGAACAUCGGUGCAAGACAAAGACAGAGACAUUGUAAUCUUACUUUUUUUUAUGAUUGAUGAUGCCUUAGAAGUGUCUUUCCUUCUCCUCUUAGCCGCUUUGAUCUCUAGUGGAGUGUCUGGAUAUGAAAUCCUCUUUGAUGGAAUAACACCCCUCUUAGAUGUCAUUUUCUUUACAGAAGCAGUUAGUGCAUUAAUAGCAUUAAUCACUCCAUCGUAUUUCGCGUUGCAGUCUUGACAUUUGCAUGAAAAACAUUCGCUAGAUGCGGCAAAAUCUGGAGAAAAAUCUGUACAACCAUUAUGAUCAUAAUCAUAAUGGAUUGUUGUUUCAAAAACUGUAAGAGGAGCAUCAUUAGCCCCACCCUCCAAAAUUAUUUUUCUUGUGAUAGUUGUUGCUCCAAACAAUUCCAUUUUUAUUCCAUCAACGAUCUUAGGGUCCGAUAAAGUUUACACAGACCAUAAAGUAAGAAAAAAUGGCAUUUUCAACUCGCGGUUGGUCGGAACAAGCCACGAUGGAUAAUAUAAAAUAAAUCAGUACAUAUAUUAAGAAUGAUGAUGAAAUCAUUUAAUCAUUAAUUAAAAUAAAAACUUGAUUAGAAUUGGAUUUACUGCUUCCUUGGGGGGAUUGAAAAGAUCAAGAAAUUUUGCAUUUAUAUCGGUUUUGGCAGACAACCAUCUCAGAAUUUUUGGACAGGAAACUUCUUCCUGGUAGUUCACUUAUUGUCUCAAAUAAGGAAUGACUUCAGAUGCCCAAGCCUAUAAUAUAACGCCAAUAAAUCAAAAAUAUUAUUGAAUAAAAAAUGAUGAAUCAUAUCAUGAUAAAAAUUUUUUUACCAUGAAGGCCCAUGGAAAACCAUAUAAGUUGACUGUUUUUAGCGUUAACGGAGUCAAUAUAUUCGACAGUUAUUUUAAAGCUUUCAUAACCCCAAGGAUAGCUGUUAAAUGCGUCAAAAUCAUCAGAGAUAUUUAUUAAACUGAGGCUUAUGUUGUUGUUAACGUCUCUCGCCCAAAGAACAUUAUGUACAAACCAAACCAAGCACAAUGAUUGCUUGUGCUUCUUUGAAAGUCCUUUACCUUUCNNNNNNNNNNNNNNNNNNNNNNNNNNNNNNNNNNNNNNNNNNNNNNNNNNNNNNNNNNNNNNNNNNNNNNNNNNNNNNNNNNNNNNNNNNNNNNNNNNNNNNNNNNNNNNNNNNNNNNNNNNNNNNNNNNNNNNNAGGAGGAUAAUAUUUUAGUCCGGUAACUAUGGCAAACUCCCCCCAACCAAAACAAACAGGCAUGCCACAGUAAUUUAUCCACACAUCAUCCAUCUUAUCUUUGUUUUCAUACAUAAACCUGCACUUGAGAAGAUCACAUACCAUUUUCAUCUAAAAACGAGCAUUGCUGUCCUUCGGCAAAUCAAGAUAUUGCCCAAAGCAGCUUUCCCUGAAAUAAGAAUCCAAUUUUUAUUCUCGAUGUAUUUUUUUGAAGGCGUCGAAAGAUUUUCCCAUGACAGACUUAACCACGAGAUCACCCGUUAAAUCUAUGGCACCAUCGCACUGCAUUAUCACAGGAUAACGAUCAAUGCUGAAGGUUUUGACCAACUCUUCGGUGAAAGGACUAUUAGCAUUUGGAUCAUCUCUUUUGAAAGAUUCCUCCUCCCCGUGUUCAUUAUCUUCUGCUCCUGAUUGAGAUAACGUUUGUAAAGCAAGCUCAUAGAGUGGUGGAUGUAGCCGAGCUGCUGCACUUGUUCCUUUACUUGGACUGAAUUCGAUUUCUUUUCUUUUGGGAGCCAUGUUAUCUUAAAUAAUCAAGAACAUAACAUAGAUUAUAAUUGAUUAAUGCAUAACAGUAAUAUAACAGUUCCAACAGACAACUAAUCUGUUGCACCAGGUAUGUUAUCUGUUGCAACAUAUAACCGUCCUAUUGCAACGGAUGAGUAAUCCGUGGGAACCAUAAAAACAACACUAUCUGUUGCACCUGGUAUUUUAUCUGAUGCAACACAUAACUGACCUAUUGCAACAGAUGAGUAAUCCAUUGGAAACCAUAAAAAUAGAUCACUAAUCUGUUACACGAGGUAUUUUAUCUAUUGCAACAUAUAAUCGACAUGUUGCAACAGAUGAGUAAACCGUUGAAAAGAAUAAAAAGAUUUUUAUAGUUGCAUUAGAUUUAAAAACAGUCCUAAUCUGUUGCAAAAUGAAGAGUAAACCGUUGGAAAGAAUAAAAAUAGAUCACUAAUAAGUUAUCUGUUGGAUUAAUAUUGUUUAGAUUUCUUCCAAACAGAAGAGUCGUCUGUCGCAACAGAUGGAUGAUUUGUUAGACUGUUCACCUGUUGUAUCAGAUUUUCAUAGUUGCAUCAGAUUUUUUAUCUGUUGCAUCAGAUUUUCAUCUGGUGCAUCAUAUGUUUCAUCUAUUACAUCAGAUGUUUCAACUGUUGCAAUACUAUUUCUACCAAGACAAACAACAAAUCAAUCCAGCAACACCAACACAUCACACAUACACUAAGAACAUCAAUUGUGACCAAAAAUCACCAACAAAUUUGAAUCAACAGUACGACAACAAGAAGAAAAAAAUGCAUAAAUGCCAGAAAUUAGGGUUUUAUUCAGUUCACAUUUCAAUACCAGAAGAGUAGUUGGCUCAAGUUCCUCUGUUUCUUCAUAAUUUUUUACCUGUGAAAAAGAAAAUGGGAGGACCAAAAACUCAAAGUUGUUAUCGCCGGAGAAGUAUUCACGUUGAUUGACGGUUGAAAGUCGAAAAGGAACUCGCCCGACUAUUUAUCGCCGGAGGUUGAAGGGAGAAAUUUUGUAGAACUGUUGGUUGGGAGAGAGUUGAGAGAAACUGGCAAGAGAGGAGAGAGUGGUUGAUUUGGAUUGAACAGGGGUGUGGGUUGGGUUGAUUUGUAUUUUUGAAAAGAUUAGAAAGUUUUGAAAAUAUUAAUCUUGUCCACAAUUAACUUAAUCAAGUAUUCUAAUGAUGUUUGACCCUAUCUGUUGGUCAAUGUCACCAAUCCUUCAUUCAAGACUUAAAAGACACCUUUCCUUCAAUUUUCUCGUGUAAGUUGAAUAUUACAAACAGGUGAAAGAAUAUUCGAUUUGAGAUGUUGAUUUAAAUAAACUGUAGAUACAAAUUUAAUUUUAUAACUUGAUGGAUUAAAAAAACAUAAUAAUAUUCAUUAUAAUGAGGGAUGGAACUUAACGUAAUUAUUAUAUACUAUACAAAUUAACAAAAAAAUCAAUCUAAUUUGAGCACCAAUAAUCUAAUUUGACCGCCAAUUAAUAGGUGGGAUAAAUUUAUACUGUCAAUUAAAAUAAUUAAAAUUUUAUUUCAGAAUUAAUCAUAAAAUAUUUUGUCUUACCCUCUCCCAAAUUGAAAUUAUUUUACUAUAUUUCCAAGUAAGAUAAAUUAAUUUAGAACUUAUAAUUCAAAAAUAAUUUAGUUCAAAUGUCACAUGACCUAAUUAAACAUAGGAGUAGUUUAAUGAGUGCUUGAUUGAGUUGACAAAGCGCCAUAUGCUGAGUAGGAAACAUCAAAACAAAUAAUUUAGAGUGACAAAAAUAUCAAAAAUAAGCUAGCAUUUAGCCAUAGAUUUUCAAAUCUUUGGCAAAUCAUUUUUUGGUGAGGUUUCGCCAUGUUUUUUAUCAUAAUUUUGGGAAAAUAUAUUUAGCCUUUUUAGGAAAUGUGAUUUGUAUCCAUAAACAUUGAAAACAAUUAAAAUAUUCAUAAGUUUGUAUUAUCGUUUUAUGAUAAACAAUAUAUAUCCACUACCAUGUAUAGCUAGCUUGAUCAAAGUUCUAUACUCUAUAAUAUUGUGUUUAUCCACACAAGUAAUGAUGCUAUAAUACAAAUUAAAUCCUUAAAUUAUAAGUUUCAACUAUUUUCACAAAUCACUUUCACAAAUUAGUGUAAAAGCUAUUGAAGUUUUUUCAACUUACAAAAAAAAUAUUCACUUUAUAUGUUAGGUGUAAAUAUAUUUAUGUUCUUUAUAAAUAGAACAAUUUAUUAAUAAAUGAUUAUUGACAGAUAAAUAUUAGUUAAAAUUAAUAAAUAGUGGGUUGUUCAUAGAAAUAAAAUAGACAAGAAAAAAAAGAAAAAGAAUGUGAUAAAAGGAAUGAUCAUAUUAGUGGUGGCAACAAAAAAAACUUGUCUCGAUUAUUCAGUUAUUUCAUAAUUUUGGUUGCAUGUUACUAUAUUUUUGUCUAAUUAUGAAAAUUUCAAAUAUAAUUUUAAAAUUAUAUUUAAAAAAAUAAAAACAAUCAACUUUUUACUCAAAUUUUAUGGCAAAACUUCAAAAAUAACUUUAAUUCCAACCCUAAGUAUAAUUUCAACUGGAGUGUUGUUUGAGGUUAGAGUAGGUGAAAUGGGGAAGAGGUGGUUGUGGAGCGGGCGAUGUCUGUUUUCAACAUCAGUAAGACAAACUAGCAGCAGCACUACUCAACAACUCACCCUCCUCUCCUCUACAGGUGACAUUAACAUUCCCACUGGCUGAGUUACACAUACAAUCUGCAUUUACGUUUUAUGUAUAUACACAAUGUAAACAUUUAAUAACUGCUUACAUAACAUCCCUAUACCAUUAGACCCUAGGUCCAUUUGUAUAACGUGGUAACCUAGUUACCCCCACCCCAAUUCUAUUGUUUUCCUCAUGAAAGGGUUCACAUCCUGUAUCUUUCACGUUCCACAUGUCUAGUCCUCGCGCCCAUAUCCAUGUCUAGUCUCUUCUUCACGUGGUCUUAGGUCAAUUCUUAACUCAUGAGUAAACUUUUGGGGUUGAGUAAAUUUGUUUUAUCAAUAGAGGAGUGUCUGUUUCUUGAUCUCCUUAUAUGGUCUUAGGGCGAUCUUCAUGAGCUUGCUUUUGAGGUUGAGUUCCAUUUCUUUAACAUGGUAUUAGAGCAGGCUUCAUCCCAAUUUUGUUUCUGAUGUUGGGCCUCCAUAUUAAAUUGUCCGCGCUCUAGAUGUACAACCCCUAGUGUGAGUGUGUGUGUGUGAGAGAGAAGAAGACCCACAUUGGUGGUGAAGGGGAUGGGUGGUCUCUUUUACUGUUUAAGCAAUAUUAACCUCUUUUAGUUUUUGGGAUUGAGUUUGAUCCGAAAUUAGAUAAGAAAUGGUGAGUGGAGACAAGUCCAGAAAUUUAGGUGAAUGAGAAGCUUACAUCAACUCUGCAGUGCCAAAAAAUGUAUUGUUCAUAUUUUGCUUGUAUUCACUCAUUUAUCCUCUUCUAUAUGAUCCAAAAGAGUCAAGGAAUGCACCCUGAAAUUGGAAUUAGGAUAAGUUGAACGCAUAAUGUUUGUUGUUUACUGGUUUUGCUACACGAUGUUAAAAGACUGAACAAGUGUUUUGUAAAGGAUACAUCAACUGCAAGCUUAAAAUAUAAAUCCCUCUUAUAAAGAAACCACUUUUCUUUUCGUCCUUAAAACACGAUUCAAUUUGAAUCGUUGUUAUCUGCUCCAGGUGUUCUCAUAGGGGUGCUAAUUGGAGAUAGUCAUAUUACUUUCUUCCAAUUUAGAGAAAAAAGUAUUUCCUUUUUGCUUAUGAGUAGAACUUCUAUUAAACAAGCAUAGUCAUGAAUUCAGGAGGAAGCUGAUAAACAAAAGUUUUCCCGAAGAUCAAAACAUGAAGGGCCUUUUGCAAAUGCAGAUGGGAGGAGCAGUAUGAGUGAAACUGGAAAAUCUCAAUUGACAGCAAAUCAUUUGGUCUGCAGAAAAAAGGGAAGGGAGUUUUGUUAGAUUCAAAGGACCAACAGGUAAGAAAGACUUCUUCUCUCCAUUUAUUUAUUUUUUGAUUGACUUAUUUCUUGGUGUUGUGGAAUAUACGGAACAAGGGAAAAGUGGUGUUAGUCGUGUGACUAUGUGUGGGUGUGGAGUGGGGUUUGGGAGCGAGGAAACAUGAAAGGCUUGCACUUUUUCACUUUUCUAUCCCUUUUUUAAUUUUUAUAUCAUGAUGUUAUUAUGUGCACACAUCAAUUUUGUAUAAAUGGGUGGGUCACUGAGAUGGAUCUAUGAUUUUAAUAAGUUAUCCUAGCACCAGGGGUGGCUUUACAGUGUCGGGUAUGGGUUUCCAGGAUUUUUUUUCUGGAUAGUGCAUUUAUUUAGAAAAAUACAUUACACUUAUGUAGUAUUUACAUGUCGAAUUCAGUAUCAAAACAACUGAAUGGUUCCGUGGCAGAAAGGAACACACUGAAUCUCUGCUCUUAUAAUUGGCGAGGGUUCAAAACCCCUUGCACUCAACGUGUUUUUUGUUGGAAAAAACACCACAUUGCAGGCCCUUAUACUGUGUUAUAAGUCCCCUUGCCAGGUUCUUCACUAUUCUUCCUCAUUUUUUAGAUUUUUUGUUUUUUUUUUAUUGGUCCUGUUGCUCACCGAGGACAUGACCCUAGAUAGGAAGGUCUGGAGGGCGCGAAUUUUGGCAGAGGAUUAGGGCCAGUUUGGGUCGCUAGUGUAGGAAAUUACUUGGUGGGGGUUUUAUUCCUGUUAUGAUUCCGUCUUCCGUGUUCCAUGUUUUAUUACGAAUCUGUGUGCUUUCCUCUGCUUUCCUCUGUUUUAUAUUACUUAUGGGUGCCGUAUUUAUGUUAUGUAAUCUGCUUCUGUGCUUUACUAUGUGUUUGUGUGGUAUCUCGUGUCUUGAGCCGGGGGUCUAUCGGAAACAGCCUUUCUACUUCAUCAGAGGUAGAGGUAUGGACUGCGUACAUCUUACCCCCCCCAGACCCCACUAGGUGGGAAUACACUGGGUUUGUUGUUGUUGUUGUUGUUGUUGUCUUGUUGCUAGGUUCUUCACUAUUCUUCCUCAUUUUUUAAUUUUUGUUUUUCUCUUAUAUUGUGUUAUAAAUUUUUGUUGUUUUCCAACUAUUGUCAUGACCCAUCUCUUGCAAAAAUGAUGAAUAAUAUAUGUUGUGUUUAAGUGGUUUGUUACUUUUUAAAUAAACUAGUUCUUAAGUACAUGCAUUGCACAUGUAUGUCAAGUCAUGUUGUGUAUUGUUUUAUAAAAUAAUAUUAAUAUAACUAGAAAUGAAGCUUUGAAUAAAACAUUUCUCACAAAAAUCUUCAUCAAAUAUUUGUUUUGUAUGUACGAAACAUACCCAAAUUUGCAAAGAUUGUACCCUUCGGAGAUGAGAAUAUUUUAAUCCUGUGAAAAAUUAAUCAAGCACCUAUAUCUAAUAAAUCAUAUAUAUGAAUUGAAGGCAAUGUGGGCUGCCAAACCUUCCAUCUGUUGCCAUGUUUUCAACUUUUUGCUUUUGGCUUUCUUUUCAAUAUAUUUUGCUGCACGUCAGAACCGCAAUAUUGUACUUGAGAUUGUCUUUUUCUAAGAUAUGUUCUCUUGGACAAGAUGAAAAUGACUUCUGAUACUUUUACAUUCUUCCCUAACAUACUUUUUAUCCCUCCAUUCCCCUAUCAAUUUCAUCCUACUUUAUUGAACCCAAGAAUUAUAUUAGUUAGUGCUGUCAAGCUCUUUGAUUAUAUUAUGUGCCAAAAAUGUUGUUUUCAAUUGUUCUCGGUUUUCUUUCCAGGUAGAAACUGGUAGCAUUCAAAAUUCAGCUUUUCUUAAUGCUGUUGUGAAGGUGAAUAUAUCUUAUUACAUGUCAAUGUUCUAAUUACGCCAGUUUUUUUGGAUGCCUCAUCUUCAAAUCUCAAGGUGAAGGUGUAGAUCAUUUGAUCAUGAAAUUUUCGUAAAAAGGGAUCCCUGGAAGCUAUCAACCUCAGUGCUCAUCGUAUUCUUAGUUUUCUUAGAAACGGAAAUUUGUUAAAUAACCUCAUGUAUCUCUAAAGUCUUGAACUAACAGUUGUGUGACUGGGAAUUUAUAAUUAUUACGAAUCUGUGUGCUUUCCUCUGCUUUCCUCUGUUUUAUAUUACUUAUGGGUGCCGUAUUUAUGUUAUGUAAUCUGCUUCUGUGCUUUACUAUGUGUUUGUGUGGUAUCUCGUGUGGUAUCUCGUGUCUUGAGCCGGGGGUUUAUCGGAAACAGCCUUUCUACUUCAUCAGAGGUAGAGGUAUGGACUGCGUACAUCUUACCCCCCCCAGACCCCACUAGGUGGGAAUACACUGGGUUUGUUGUUGUUGUUGUUGUUGUUGUCUUGUUGCUAGGUUCUUCACUAUUCUUCCUCAUUUUUUAAUUUUUGUUUUUCUCUUAUAUUGUGUUAUAAAUUUUUGUUGUUUUCCAACUAUUGUCAUGACCCAUCUCUUGCAAAAAUGAUGAAUAAUAUAUGUUGUGUUUAAGUGGUUUGUUACUUUUUAAAUAAACUAGUUCUUAAGUACAUGCAUUGCACAUGUAUGUCAAGUCAUGUUGUGUAUUGUUUUAUAAAAUAAUAUUAAUAUAACUAGAAAUGAAGCUUUGAAUAAAACAUUUCUCACAAAAAUCUUCAUCAAAUAUUUGUUUUGUAUGUACGAAACAUACCCAAAUUUGCAAAGAUUGUACCCUUCGGAGAUGAGAAUAUUUUAAUCCUGUGAAAAAUUAAUCAAGCACCUAUAUCUAAUAAAUCAUAUAUAUGAAUUGAAGGCAAUGUGGGCUGCCAAACCUUCCAUCUGUUGCCAUGUUUUCAACUUUUUGCUUUUGGCUUUCUUUUCAAUAUAUUUUGCUGCACGUCAGAACCGCAAUAUUGUACUUGAGAUUGUCUUUUUCUAAGAUAUGUUCUCUUGGACAAGAUGAAAAUGACUUCUGAUACUUUUACAUUCUUCCCUAACAUACUUUUUAUCCCUCCAUUCCCCUAUCAAUUUCAUCCUACUUUAUUGAACCCAAGAAUUAUAUUAGUUAGUGCUGUCAAGCUCUUUGAUUAUAUUAUGUGCCAAAAAUGUUGUUUUCAAUUGUUCUCGGUUUUCUUUCCAGGUAGAAACUGGUAGCAUUCAAAAUUCAGCUUUUCUUAAUGCUGUUGUGAAGGUGAAUAUAUCUUAUUACAUGUCAAUGUUCUAAUUACGCCAGUUUUUUUGGAUGCCUCAUCUUCAAAUCUCAAGGUGAAGGUGUAGAUCAUUUGAUCAUGAAAUUUUCGUAAAAAGGGAUCCCUGGAAGCUAUCAACCUCAGUGCUCAUCGUAUUCUUAGUUUUCUUAGAAACGGAAAUUUGUUAAAUAACCUCAUGUAUCUCUAAAGUCUUGAACUAACAGUUGUGUGACUGGGAAUUUAUAAGGUGGUUGUUGCCCUUGUCCCACAUGAAAUUAUUUUCUUAUCGUUUGAUUCUUCCAGUUGGAAGAUAAUAAAAAAUAUACUUGAAAUAUGCUCAUAUAGCACUUAGAAUGGCGUACUCCUCGAUAGAUGGUCUAUCUUACGCAGUUUCAAUUUUAGCGUCAAUAGGUUUGUCGAAAUUGUUUUCAACAUGUCCGCAAGUGCACUUGUGAAUGGCUUUUAAAUGGAUUGCAUGAUAAUAUUUAAUAAUGUUAACUCAUUUCCCCCCAUUCCAUUUUUUCUGUGUCAAGGUUUACUGUACACAUACUGCUCCAGAUUAUUCCCUUCCUUGGCAGAAACAAAGACAAUAUAAAAGUACCGGAAGGUAUGCUCUUUCUCAUUUCUAUCGACUUAAAAAUUGUGCAAAACUGCAAAUUUCCAAUGAAAGGUAGUUCUAUAAUGCAUUUUUUUCUUAUAUUUCUUACUAUAUCGGGUAGUCUGUUCCUUGUAAGGGGGUAUAACCUACAAGACUGACUUCAGUUUGAUUUAUACAGUGCUCUCAUGAUUGCUGAUGGGAAGUUCUUGACCAAUGCACAUUGUGUUCAACAUGAUACACAGGUACCUUUGAGGUUUUAAUCUUCCCUUUAUAAGUAUACAAAUUCUUAUUAUUAUGCCUGUCUCUCCUUUAAAUUAAAUAAAAGAAUGUCUCUAAACAAAAAAAAUUGAUGUCAUGUCAACCAAUAAUCAGGACAACUAUAUCCUUCAAAUUUUAGGUGAUUUUAUGAACCUUCAGGUGUGGGUAUACGAAUUUGAUCUUUCCCUCCCAUUUUGAACAAUGUAUCUUGGUUUUCUAAAACUUGGUCUAUCCAGUAUGUGUAUACGAGGUUCCCCUCAAAUGUUAAUAAAAUUAUUUACCUUAUCAAAAAAAAAAUGGUCUAUCCACUCAAAGCUGGACCAGAGAAAACAUGCAUUACUAGAUAAUUUACGAAAAAAGUACUUCAUUUUGUAUUUUCUAAAAACAUGCAACAGAGUGUGCUUCACCUCUUUUCCGUCCAUUUGUGUCGAUUAACUUGAUUUAGUCAUUGUAGUCUGUUCUUUUUAGAAAAUACUGUGAUUGCUUAAUAAGUUUUUUUACCUUCCUCCUUCCUUUAUAGCAGGUGAGUUUUCUUUGAAACCAAUAUCCACUGAGGACGCGUUCCGAAAUAGAGCAUAAUGAAUAUGGAGAUUCAUGUUACCGAGUCCAACUAGUCUGGGAUUUUUGUGUUAUUGAUUGAUUGAAUAUGGACUAGGGACUCGAGUUAUAGAUUUUACAUUCUUUCCAUAUAUUGCUAUUUUUACAACAUUGAUUAAAAUGCACCAUAGAUGUGCAUGACAUGGAUAUUCUGUUGGUAUCUAGUAUUCAUGUUGCCAGAACAUGGAGAUAUUGUACUAUAACCAAAUUAAUGAACGAGAAAAGGGCAGUAUACCAGAAUCUUUGACCAUAUUUAGUUAGUCCGACCUAUUUCUGCAUUAGCUAUUUGAUUUUUCAUUCUUAUGUUGUAAAGUUACUAAAAAAUUUUUUUUUUGGAUCAUUCGCAUGCAUGCUAGUUUGGAAAUGUCACCAAGUCAAAUGAUAUUUGAUACAUUUUUCCAGGGCGACGUGAUUGUUAGCUUUGAUGGUGUUCAUGUUGGGUGUGAAGGAACAGUGCCAUUUCGAUCAAGUGAACAUAUAGCUUUUUGCUAUCUCAUUAGUCAAAAGUAAUAUUCAACUACUUUCAAAGAAGUUAAAUUUUCCAUUAAAAGGCAUUGGUAUGUUUGACAAACACUUUUUUUCAUUACAUACUACGUUUGACGAACAUUAUGCACUUACUGCUCAGUUUGAAUGUCAAACUCUGAAACUGUUAGCCUCAUGUCAUUACUGAUUUUUAAGGCAACACUUUUCCCUUUGUCUUUCCCACAUAAGUUUUUGCUUCAAUCAAAUAUGCCAAAACUAGCAGGGAAUGCUUAUCAUUUUGUAUACUGUGAAGGCUGAAUAGUCUGCUUUAGUUUUUUGUCCCAGUGGAUCCAUUUCCAUGAUGACUUUGAAAUGGAUAUCAAUUAAUGCUAAUAUUUCACUGAAUCGUUAAUGUCAAACUCCAAACUCUCCCCAUCUAUAUUGCUUAGACUCUUCAAAAAUGUUAUCGGGUGCAUCUCGUAUCCUUCAAAAGUAGUGUAUUUUUGGAGGAUUGAACACGGGUGUGGCAACAUUUUUUAAGGAGUCCGAACAACUUAGCUCCCCAUCUUCCAUGCCAUGGUGGUCCUGCAUGUUGUUUUAUUAAGUAUGUUUCCUUUUUGGUAUACCCCUUGUAUACGGCCAAGAUGACCUAGUUAUUAUCAGUGAAAUCUUUUACUUGAUCAGAUACUUAAGUAUGCACAUGCUACUGUUAAUUUACAAAAAUUCUUUUUCCUUUAAGAUUCGCUGGUGAUUCAGUUGAGGUUGGUAUUAUACGAGCGGGAGAAUUCAUGAAAGUUCAAGCAGUUCUAAAGCCACGUGUGCAUCUGGUAUAAAAAAAUGUUACUCCCUUCGUUUGAAAAAGAAUGACCUACUUUUCUUUUUAGUCUGUUUCAAAAAGAAUGACCCAUUUUCCUUUUUGUCAAUACUUUAAUUUCAACUUUCCACAUGGCAUGUUUAGGACCACAAGAUUAAAGGGCAUUUUGGUACAUUUAACACAACUUUAAUUUAAGGCCACAAGAUUCAAAAGUCUUCUUUAUUUUCUUAAACUUUGUGUUAAGUCAAAGUAGGUCAUUCUUUUUGAAACGGAGGGAGUAGCUGUUUUUUUGUUGACACCACCACUUGAAUCUUAGUUUAAUUUCUAUCGAUCUGUUUGCUUUCAUCUGAAGGUUCCUUAUCACAUAGAAGGUGGUCAGCCUUCAUACCUAGUAGUUGCAGGCUUGGUGUUUACACCACUAUCCAUACCACUAAUACAGUAAGAUUUUCCAUAAUACCUCGUAUUGUUUGGAGCUAGCAAUUUGCUAGUUUUCAAGUAUGUAUUAGUAGUACAAGAGUUCUCUCUCUCUGAUAACAACACAUUCAUAUUUUACUUGACAGGGAAGAACGCUGUUGCAUUGGGGUAAGUCUUGACCAAAUGAUGAUUGCGCACAAUGAUUAGAGCUUCUUUUUUGUUUAGUUUUGAUAAGUCAAUUAUUAGAAAUACUCUAUUGACUUGAUUGUUUUCUUUAAUUUUAUUAGCAAAAACUAUUGACCAAGGCUCGACACUCUUCGGCCAAGUUUGAAGGGGAGCAGAUUGUUGUACUAUCCCAGGUAUGUAUGGAGUAAGUUUUGGCCUUUGUAAAUCAGCUCACAGAUAUAGCGACUAAAAGAUUUAUCCUUUCUUCUAUUCAUUAAUGGAUAUCUCGUGACUUGAGCCGGGGGUCUUUCGGAAACAGCCUUUCUACUUCAUCAGAGGUAGAGGUAUGGACUGCGUACAUCUUACCCCCCCCAGACCCCACCAAGUGGGAAUACACUGGGUUUGUUGUUGUUGUUGUUGUUGUCUAUUCAUUAAUGGACUCGAGAAUAGGACAUACUCAUCCCUGGGCCAUGGCAGAGGAACAAGACAGUGACAUUAACCUAAGGGUUGAUGAUGGAAGUGGCAGAAUGGUUACAUGCAUUUUAGCCUGCCCAUUUAUCACCCUUGGGGUUCUAGUCUGCCUUAUCACUUGCUCACCCAUUUUGUCACCUCUAAAUGAUUCUGAGGGGUUAAUUUACUAAAAUAAUGCUACAUUUCAAUGGUUUAUUUUGCUUGUAGGUUUUAGCAAAUGAAGUAAAUAUUGGAUAUGAGGACAUGAGCUAUGAGCAGGUAAGUUAUUUAUAUUCACUUUGAUGUUAUAAUUACCACCAUUUGAUUUGUAAACAAUAAUUAGUGUGAACAUCAAACUUCAAAUUUAAUUACAUGUUUUUUCAGUCACAUGCCAACUAGCUUGGAAUUGAGGCAUAGUUGUUGUAUGAUUCUUCUAUGAAGUCUGAAGUUUUUAUAUACUUGGCAGGUCUUGAAGUUGAAUGGCACCCGAAUUAAACAUUCACCAUUUGGCUCAUCUAGUGGAUUGUAAGUGUAACGUAUAUAGCUGAGUUCUCUUUUCUCUUUAGCUGAGCAAUUAAAGAUUUUUCUGUUUGUGCAGCUUCCAAGGGCCAAUUUUUAGUGUUUGAAUUUGAAGGCAAUAAUUUGGUUGUUGUGGAAAGGGAGGAAGCCCUGUCUGCCUCAGCUAGUAUUCUCAAAGACUACGGCAUUCCAAAGAUCAUCAGAUCUUCUGGACCAUAUAUUGAUUCCAUAGAACAAAGUGAAGCAGCCAAUCAUGGUGAUAGUCCAGUUUCUAAUCAGAAGGGAAAAAAACGUUCAGCUGAAAUCAACGUGCUGAUGGCUAUUGGCUGUUGGUGAAAUGGAAGUUCCUGGCCCUGCACAUGAAGUAUGCAGCAUUUCUGAGGUUUAUUUUUACAGGUGUAGGAUGUAAUUAUCAAUUUGUAGGAAAUUUUGGGAGUUGAAGUGAUCUGAAGGUUUUGUUACCAUUCACAUAAUUCAGUUUUCCUUUUAGUUUUCCCUCCCCACUCCGCGGCCUCUCACCGUGAAACCAUAUUCUUUGGUCUGAGACCUGUUAAAGGUCAGGAACAUAUUCUAAAUCAUUUUUGUAUAUUACUAUUAUGUGUUACAGCAGUAAACAAAGUUAAGUCUGAAUGUAAUGUCUCGACAGUAUUUAUUUUAUUUUAUAAAAGAAAAAUGGAUGGGUAGAUAAGUGUGUUGGUUCAUUUUUCUCAACUGUACGUGGGCCAUAUUACAUUUCUAUGAGCUCGAAAGGUCGUGGACUGUUCUGGCAGCAAACUGUAGAGUGGACCUACCCUACAGCAACCCUCAUAAGAUUCCAAAGUCCUAAACGUGCUUUGCUUAUAGACUUCAAAAUACACAAUCACCUGCAUAAUAAUUCACAUAUUAAAUGAAAUUGACCAGGCAAAUUGUUUUUACAUUAUGUGUAGUCAGUUUGUAGCAAGGUAGUUUCCCUAUUUUCGAGUUACUUUAUACCAUCAGCUUAUAUAUGUCAAGGAUUUCUUUUUGUUUUACAGGAGAAGGAGUGUAGAGUCCUAACUAAUCAACUAUCAAGGGCGGGAAGAAUGGUAGAACGGUUUUGUCAGAUAGAGAAAAUUCCAUAGAGUAGGAAUGGCAAGAAAAGGCCAGUGAGGAAAAGGACAAACAAGCUCAUGUGAUUUCUCAACUAUUACCAUUCACCAAUCUUGUCCCAUUGCCAAUACAUUCCAAGCUGUCUUCUUACUAAAUACUAGCACAUUCUUCUUCUUCAUAAUCUAUCUACCCUUCAAUUAUAAUACCAACUCUGUCAUUCCUUUCACCUAAGAUAAUUCCAAUACCUUUACUAUUUCUAUGCCAAGAAAGGUUUGUCCACUGAUGGCUGCUUCUGCUUCCACUUCCACAAAGCCAUUCUUCAUUCCACUCAUGAUUUUCUUGAUUUCCCAAUCUCUUUCUCUUUCUUCUUCUUCUUCUUCUUCACUAGCUAGCCUGCCACCAGCUUCAAGUAUUUCAGCUGCACCUGCAUUGCUGCCAAAUCCACCAACAUCUUCACCUCCACUCUCUGCACUUUCUCCGGAUAUAACUCCUCUGUUUCCUUCACCUGGUGGCUCAGAGCUUGCUCCUAGUGAUUCUACAAUACCCACUAUUCCUUCAAGUCUCAGCCCACCAAACCCAGAUGCUAUGGUUGCUCCUGGACCCCUCAUGCCAUUUCAGCCUUCUGCCUCAUUCCCAAUUCACUCUGCGAUUCCUCCAGCAUCGCUUCUUACUGCAAUUUUGGUCUUUGCUGUGUAAUGCCUGCUGCCUGCAUUGCUGGUUCAUACUGGACUCAGGAUAUAGUUUAUUGGUUUCACCACACCUCGUUUGUCUAUCAUGUACUACAGAUUUAUUUUAUUAAUUAUUUUGCUAAUCAGAGUAAAUAAUCACUAGUGCGAUAUUAGGCAUCAUUACUAAGUUGAUUGAGAUGUACUGCCAUUCUUGUAUCAGCUAAGAAAGGGGAUUAUAAAUUCAGUUGUCAAAAUGAUAUACUGACAUACGCUCUAUUCUACAUGACCAUUUUUUCUAUACUAAAAAAGAUAUGAAGAAUCAUUUUUGAGGUACAGUACUACCCCAGCAAAUGAAGUAGCAUAAUGAGGUACAGCACUAUUGGUUUUAGUAUUUAGGAGAUGUGCUGAAGGGCUCCCUUCUUUGAUGAAAUUUUUUUCCUCAGCCCUGUUGUUUUCCUCCCUCGGCAAAUCCAAAGCGAUAUAAUUAUCUGAUUAAUUAUGUUGAAUAUUUCAUCAUCUAGCUCUGCAACAAUAGAAUGAAGAAAGUUUUGCCAUAACAGUAAGGCAAUAUAAAUAUUACUAAGGAAUCGAAUCAUUUUCGAAUUCGGAAAAGGUAAAAGUAUAGCCUCAAAGCAAAAAAGGGUACUAUUCCUAUCCCUUCAUUUCCUCUUCUGUGGGAAGAGCAAAAAGUGGAGUCUUGGUCCCUAUUCUACUCCUAACAUAAUUAUUGGGAGAAGCUUAUCCAACAUUAGACCUAGAGAUAUUAUGUAUAUAUAACACGCGAUAGUAGGUUAAAUGGACUUUACCGUAUAGUUAGGCAAUCAAUUUUUCAUUACAGAUUAAAGCAAGAUAACAAAAGUAUAUUGUGGACCACUCUGAUGGCUAUCAAAAUCAGUACGAUGCUCUUCCUAGUUGACAAUAGAAACAAAAAAAAGAAGUUCAAUUUUUCAUAACUGAUCACUAUCUUUAAACGAGCAUCGAAAAUGAUCAUAUUCCCAAAGUAUGACAUCAGGGUAAAUUUAAUCUCAAAGUAUGACGAAGGGUAUAUUUAAUCAAUUUUUCAAAGUAAAGGAAUAAAUUUGACCCCAAACUAUGACGAUGAGGGUAAAUUUGACCCCAAAAUAUGUCGAAGAAUAUAUUUCACCAAUUUUUUACAGUAAAGAGGCAAAUUUGACCCUUAACUCUUAGUUUUAAUAAGCCGCUUGUGAUGAGUUGUUGUAGGAGUCCAUUGGAUCUGCUUUAGGUGAUAAAUGAAGCCAUAAAUGAGCCACAAUGGGUGAAGAAACAAAGAGAAAACCUGAUGUGGACAAUGGAUUUGAAAGGGUACAAAUGAAGCUCUAAAAGCUAGAGAAUUUGAGGAUUGAAGUCAAAAACUCAUCAAGAUUGAGAUAUGUGAUGCACUAAAGUCAAGGCUCAACGUUAAAGAUCAUGUCUGGAAGAGUUGAACCAGUAAAAUAGUAGCUUACCGUGAUUUGAACGUGCCACGGAGUCAAGGAAUAGAAGAAACAAAGUUGGAACAAGUUUAGUCGGCCGCAUUAGCAGCGUGGCACAGAGGCUUGGCUCCAUUUUAUUGAAGAGGCAUGCUGCCUAGGUGCCGUGAUAUCAAAGUGUCAUGGAGCUUAGGCUCCGCGAUUACAAGGUGUCGCGGACUUGAUAUUUUCAAGAACAACUUGUGCUACACUAUAAAUAGGAACUUCCAUCUAUUCUAAUCAUUUGUGGAUGACUUGGGACUGAAAAAUACCCAAGGAAGUCUCCAAAUAGAGUUUUUAUUCUUCUCUUUUCACUACUUAAUUCUUGUAUGAGCUACAUUAAUUUCGUGAUUGUAAAUUAGAUUAUGAGUGGCUAAAAUCCUCUUUCUAGGAUUAAGGCUACGAACAUGAUUGUUAAGCGUACAUUCAAGUUGGUUAAUGUUAAUUAUCGUUUUGGUGGUUCUUAUAUUAUUAUACUCACUAUUUUAUUGAUUUGUGACCUUUAAAAUAUAUUUAUAUUUCUUUUGUGAGCCCGAAAGGAGUAACAUUAGAUUAGAUCAUGGAACAUAAGGAAUGGGUUCUUGCCUUUAAAUGAAUUAAAGAUAAGAUUCGCAGUAAGGAUGGGAAUAUAUUAAAAGCUUUUACAUUGUGUUGUUCAAAGAAGUUGGGGAAACAAGAAGGAAAUCUUGUUAAUUUUCAUACCAAGAAAGAGGACAUAAGCUUCCAACUAAUUUUCAUGUGAGAUGGCAUUGGGGCUACAAACCGGAGGAGAUCUGGUUUUGAGCUAUAAUCUGCAUUUAAACAGUUUCGACUGUGAAGCUCGAUAAAUUUGGCAAUAUUUGGGAGCACAAGCUCCCUAGAAUGCAGAUGUAAUAAAGGGACCUUAGACAAGACACUUCCUUUCUGAACAUCCAAACCUUCCGGCCUCUUUAAUCUAUACGGUUUCCCUGUUGUCGGCUCAACAUCUACUCUUGGCAUCUGCUUCCAUUUGCGAUGGACAAACCAACCAUACUUAUAGUCGCCCACAAUUGGGGUUCCAAGGGCUUCAGCACAAUGAACUCGAAGCUGCAAAGUAACAGAAAACACAAUCAUUUUUCCCAUUCCCCUCCCUUACCAACAAAAUAACCACCAGAAAUGAAAAAUUAGGGCUUCUCAGUUGCAGUUGAUCAACCCAUGAAAUUCAUCAUUAAAUUGGGCAUCCAAGGCUGGAUAGGCACACAAAAUAUUACCAGCAGUAAAGCAACAUCUUACUCACACUUAAUGCUGCCGUUUGUACUGGCAUCGUCACUAGUUGAGAUGCUUAUUAUAGAGGAAAAACCUCGCAUGCUAGAAAUAUUACUCAUCGUAAUACUGAUUUAUGGAAGCAUCUUCAUAAGUUCCUCUUUAUCCUUUUUGGGUUCAUCAAGCAAGUUUUUCUGCUUGGACCUACUAAAUGUCCUAACUUAAAAUUCAGAAAAAAGCAUUAUGCAUCUCUUACAGAACCACUGCUUUUCACAGGGACCACAACUAAAAUAUUGAAAUGCAUCUUUCCACAAUUUAAAAAAUGAACCCUUUUUAUAAAAGAAAAGGGUGCAGGAACCUGAUGUUUUCUACUUGUAUGAGGGCGCAACUCCAUCCAUGAGCAUCCAUUGAUCAUUGGACCAAGCAGCCGAUAUGCGGUAACAGCAUCCUCAAAAGCUUCUAAUCCUGAGUGUUGAGCCAACAUGACUCUCUCAGUUCUACCAUCAUCAAGAAGCACCUACAGUGAAUGCACAAGCACAACGGACACUCAUUCUACUUGACCAAAACCUGCAACUUAAGCAAGGGAAUGGAAAACCUUUGUAAGUGGUGCAGAGAUCACGCCUUCCUUCUCCUUGGGGGAACCUAUUACCAACGCCCAAUACCUCUGAUAUGUUGACCCACAUGCAUCAUUCCAUGCCUGAAUGCAUAAUCAGAGCUUUAUGCAUCACGAAGACUAACCAGUGAAGUCAAAACAGGUAUUCUCACCCACAACAAAAUACCAACCCUUCUCCCUUGAAGAAAGAACGGAAGAAAAGCCAAAAGAAAAAAAAAAAGAAAAUCCUUCUCAAAAAAAAGGAAAGAAAAGCCAAAAGACAAAAGAAGAUGGUGCAUAGGUUGAAGACUAAGUACCUUAGACAGGGACUUGGACCUUUUUGUGUUGCUGAACAACAAAUGAAGAUGGGAAAUACUUUCUUCUGUUCUUCCCAUUAAAUGAAGGCCACUGCUCUCUCUAUCAAGACGAUGUACCUUGACAAAAUAUGCAGCAAACUGAACUUAAUUCCAAAUUGACAUCAAAAGCUUAAAUCUCCACACACCCCACAAUUGCUUCUUCACCAGCAAAAGUAACUCCUAUUUUUUUACUAGAGGCACCAGGAUAUCUUCGGAAAUAUUAAAAGUAAAUAGAUCUUUGAAGUUUAAUUAAUUGCACUUUCGCAAUGCUUAGUUACCAGCCUAGGUCCCUCAUCAUAUUCAUAAGACAAAGCUGCGGCUGCCAAGGCGUCCAUGCUAUUAUGCACAGGAAGGUUUCCCUGUAAUCAGUCAAAUAAUAAUCAGAAAUGAAAGCAAAAGGCUGAAGAAUGUGGUAGUCGAGAUCGCGCUAUAAAGAACACCUAAAAACAAACCUUCACAGGCAACUUUGGGGGCUUGUUUAAAACAAGUAUGGCGGGGUCCUACAAUUUGAACAAUUAAUAAGUUACAGGAAACAAGAAUACCCUUGGUGCAUAGUUCCACCCGACAACUAUAUCAAAUGAAAUUAAGAAGCAGGAAAAGUAACCACAGUAGUUGUGCCAUCUCUAACCACCAGAAAUAGUGGAAAUCAAAUGAAAAACUUGCAGAGAAGAAAACAGAUAAACAAAGACAUACCUUGUAAAAUACAAGCCUUUGCAAGUAUGCUAUUUCAUCAGCAUUAGGAUACAAAGUGCCACUAGGUAUAACAUCAUAUCGUUUUGAGAUUCUUGCUUCGGCAACAGAUAUGGGCACAUGAACUCUUGCGCCAACUUCCAUGACCUCUGAAUGCUUAAUCUGUAGAUUCAGUGUGAAAUUGUAAAACAGGGGAAUCCAUUGGGAGUGUAGCACAGGGUCCAAAACAAAUUGAAGAAGCCCCGUAGCUAUUGAUAUUUGUAUUUUCAACAUCAGAAUAAAGCUUAUACUGCUAGGACUCUUGCAAGUAUCACCACCUUUCUUAAAAAUCUGGUUUGUCCCUCCUUGCUUGUAAAUGACUCAUUACACUCUAACUGCACCUAUAAAUUAAAAAAACAAGAUAACUGUCGGAAUAUUCAUUUUCAUUACAACAAACUAAAGAAAAUAUAGCCAUUAAACCCUUCAAAAGGGUAAGAUAAAGGUCAUAUUCUAAAUGUAGGAGAAAAGGUGCAAAACAAUGUACAUUUAACAGAUUUACUCUACCUGAUGAAAUAAAAUUUCUCUUCUGGACGUUGUGAUAAAAUGAAGUAGUAUCCAAGUAUUAGAGUAGAUAAUUUAGCUACGAGGUCUGAACUAGCCAACAACAUAUAUAAAAACUAAGAACAAAAAAAUUGCAAGUUAACAUAAUAUAGGAUGAUGAAUAAUAUGUCAUUUAUCAACGUUCAAAUAAAUUUGUCAUUUGUUAUCCAUAACACUGUCCCUUGUGACUUGCAUGUUAGAGUGUCUCUACACAAUACUUCGUCACAAGCUGUUUGCCAACAUUAAACAUGUAGCAAAUUUUUAAUAAAGAUGGUCUCUGAGCCAGUUUCCACGCCUUGACUGUUUCUAUCAGAUAUCUGUUAUCUCCCACCAGCACAAGUACCGAUUAAUUCCAGCCAAUCAAAACUUGUGAUUUCUAGGUGCUUUCUUUUUCAUCAAGUGUUCAAAUCACCUAGUGCUUUUGCCUUUGUUGGGAUUUGAACCCUUACUAGUUGUACAAGGAAUCCCUAGGAGAGGAAUGUAAUUUACUAAAGACAGAAAAACAUAAGUACCAUGCACUGACUAGGUGGGAUUUAAUAGAAAAAAAUAACAUAACAAUUCACAUAGGAGCAGGAAUAGAUAUAAGAAUACUUACGAGGCCCUUAGUAAAAUGGGAUUGGAUAAGCGAGCCUGGUAUCUCAUCAAAGUAGUAUUUGAUCCAGCUAAUGGCAGUAACAUGACAAGAUGGUUGAUCCGGACCGGUGGGUGCUUUCUUUCCUGGCAAAGGAUGGCCGGGAAAUGGGGGCAAAGAUAAUAGCUGACUAGGUUUUGCACCCUCUUUUUGACGGCCCAAAUGUGCUAUAUUGUUGGACACUCGAAUCCCAGGUUGACAACGAUUUGCUAGUGCAGAACGGCCCACAGAUCUGGAAUAGCGCCUCACCAGAAAUAGUAAGCAACGACUCAUAUCUUUGUUCCACCUCAUCACAUCCUAAUACCUUAGCAUCUGGAUUUUAGAAACAUUGAGUUAAUCCCAGACAAGAGGAUGUAGAACAGACCCAUCCAAAACAAUAGGAUGAUACAACAGAAAUGAGACACACAAUUAUCAUGGUUAGUCACUGAGAAGGACUAAUAAAGUUGGGGGUCACACCAAGUAUUUAGAAACAAUUAUCCAACUAUGCUAUAAAUCUAAAAACACUUUAGUGGGAUUUAUUAGCUUUUUCCACCUUGCAACUCCAUGCCUUAAAGAGUUUUACCGGUAGAAGCAGGUCAUAGCUAUAGGGCGUCCCAAUUUUCUCUACGUGCUUAACAAGACAAACGGACAACACAACGGAGAGCAACUAUCUUAUACCCAAGAAAAAUGUCAAAUACAAUAUUUGCUGCAUUCUCUAGUCAAUUCUCUCCCUCACAAGCUCCGUACCUCCUCCUGCCAAAACAAAUUUUUAAAAAAAGUUAAAGCAUAAUCAUGCUCCUGUAGACUAGUUGCUCGGACUCGGGUACAGAUGUCCAAUAUGGGUCCGGAUAUACAGGUCAAAUCCUUCACGGUAUCAACUUAAAGAUUAGCGGAUAUGGAUCCCUUAGGCAUGCUUUCUGAGGAUGAUCGUAGACGAGAUGAGAGUGACAGCUGAUAUCCUACUGACGGUAGCAACUAUUGGUCAUCAUUCAGACUUGAGAGCAAUAAUUGCUGCUAUGUGUUUAGACAAGAUAGGAAGACUUUAACAGAUUCCAUAGACUUUAACUUCUAUAUAAUCGUAACCUAUAGGCAUGUUUUCCACUAGAAAUCCAAGUACUAAUGACUUGGACGUGAUAGAAAAAAUUGCAAACAGAUUUAAGAGUUUGAAAACUCCUUAGAAACAAACACAUUAUAGAUGUUGGAGACGGGAUACUAAUUAGUCGCGGAUCUUGCUUCACAUUUUCAAGUCAUGAAUUCACAUUUUAAAUGACAACACUAAACCAUUUUCAAGUCACUAAUUCACAUUUCAAGCGACUACACUUAACCAUUUUCAAGUCUCUAAUUCACCUUUCAAGUAACUACACAUAACCAUUUUCAAGUAACUAAUUCACAUUUCAAAAUGCUAUUUUUAACCAUUUACAAGUAACUAAUUCACAUUUGAAAACACCAUACUUAACCAUUUUCAAGCCACUAUUACAAUAUUUCAAGUGACUACACUUCACCAUUUUAAUUUCACUAGUUCGCAUUUCAAGUUACUACGCUCAAUCAUUUUCAAGUCACUACUUCAAUAUUUAACGUGACUACACUAAACCAUUUUCAAGUCACUAAUUCGCAUUUCAAGUCACUACAUUUGCAUCAUUUACAUAACACAAGUUCACAUUUUCAAGUUACUACACUUAAACAUUUUCAAAACACAAGUUCACAUUCUCAAGUCACUACACAUAACCAUUUUCAAGUAAAUAAUUCACAUUUCAAGUCAUUACACCUAACCAUUUUCAAGUCAUUAGUACACAUUUCAAGUCACUAUACACAACCAUUCUCAAGUCCCUAAUUCGUAUUUCAAGUUACUAAACUUGACUAUUUUCAAAACACAAGUUCACAUUCUCAAGUCACUACCCAUAACUAUUUUCAUGUCACUAUUACACAUUCCAAGUGACUAUACUUAACCAUUUUCAAGUAACUAAUUCACAUUUCAAGUAACUACACUUAACCAUUUUGAAGUGACUAAUUCACAUUUCAAGUGACUACACUUAACCAUUUUCAAGUAACUAAUUCACAUUUCUAGUGACUACACUUAACCAUUUUCAAGUCGCUAAUUCACAUUUAAGUCACUAUCCUUAAAGUAACUAAACUUAAUCAUUUUCAAAACACAAAUUCACAUUUUUAAAGUAACUAAUUCAUAAUUCAAGUAACUAAUUCACAUUUCACAUUACCAACAUCACAACUCAAAAUAAAAUCAUUAAACUUUUGUUUAUACUAUAAAUCAAACAAUUAAACAGAUUUAAUAAAGCAAAUCAGUAGAGGCGUCCUCUCACACCAUAUAAUCAUCACAACCAACAUUACAUUUCAAAAUAAAAUUAUUAAACUUUAAUUUAUAGUGUCCACUAACAAUUCAAUAAAUUUAAUAAAGCAAAUAAACAGAGGCAUCACAUGUCCCUCUCGCACCAUAAAAUCAUCACAAAACCUAUGAAUUUAAAGCCUUCUACAACAAAUAAUCCCACAUUAACACUACAUCUAAAGACUUCAAUAUAAUAAAAUAGAGAGAAAUCAACUUACCUUUGCUUGGCCUAAGUUGAAGAGAAAGAGACAAGCGGUCACCGGAAAAUUGCAAAGCAACCCUUUUCCUAAGUUCGGGUUCUGUCCAAAAGCAAUAUCAAAUUACUUGCUACUUCACAUCAAGCAAUAACACCAACCUCUUCAAAAAAGCAACUACAUUUAACCAUUUUCUAGUAACUAAUUCACACCUCAAGUGACUAUACUUAACCAUUUUCAAGUUACUGGUUCAAUAUUUCAAGUCAUUAAACUUAAACCAUUUUCAAAACACAAGUUCACAUUCUCAAGUUGCUACACCUAACCAUUUCCAAGUAACUAAUUCACAUUUCAAAUGACUACACCUAACCAGUCACUAUACUUAGUCAUUUUCAAGUCACUAAUUUACAUUUUCAAAUAUAAUAUAAGUCAAACAGUUCAACAAGUAUGUACAUACAUCUCUAAUCUCUCCAGGUAUUACUUCAAAAAUCAGACAUAGAUAAACACACUAGCAGCUUAACGGCGGUAACAAACAAACCUUAAUAGAAUCUGCAUUAAUUUAGCAUACUUGAAAACUAUAUAAAGAUGCAAUAAUCAAAACUUUUUGAAAAAUAAUAAUACUAAAAAAGUUUGCAUCCCUAAUCAUAAUAAUACCAGAAGCUAGAGUAAAAAGCCACUGUAACAGAAAGUAGUCUGAACGGUUUCAUCUCAAGUUAAUUAAGAUUCCAAGUAUAUAAGUGCAAAACAUCUUUAAAUUGAACCUCAAAGAAUACUAGUUCAGAAUUCAGUUAAAUGAACACGCAUACUAAGGGCCAAAUAUUUUCAACAAAAUAUGACACUUAAAAACAAAAGAGUAAAAAGUAACAAAACCGAUUGAGCCCUUACUCACCGGUCGGUCACCUCAAAGUUCACUUGGGCAAACUUCAAUGGCAGAGGUCAUUCUCAAAUUACCGGACCUCCGCUUCCACGUUAACUGUAGUUUCUCCACUUCCGCCAACAAAGUCUAAAAAUUGAACAAGAGCAACAACUAACAAUAGCAGUUUAAUGUAAUCAAGAUGGGCUGGGUCGGGUCAUGACUGGGUUGAGCUGGGUAUUAUUAAAAAAAAAUUGAAAAAAUCAACCACAAAUAGUUGAUUUAUUUUUUAAAAAAUAAUUAUUUGAAAAACAUCACUUCUUGUCAAUUUUUAUUAAAAAAAUUACUCCUAAAUUAUAUAAUGUUUGUAAUAACAUCCAAAUAAUUUAAUAUAAUGUGUAUAUAAAUUGGAUAAUUAGUUAUUUUAUCAUCACAUUAACAAGAGUAGUAUAUUUCCUCAAUCAUAUAAUAAUAUAAAUGCAUUUGUACAUACGAUAUUAUAUACCAUGUAAUACAGAGUAUUAAUCAGAUGAAUUAUCGAUUAAUUAGCUUACGUUAUUAUAACUUCAACAAUAUAUCCUAGUCUACAUUAACACGAGUUGUAUAUUUCCUCAAUGGUAUGAAUUAUUAUAUUAGUCAAAAUACUUCAAUAUAUAGAUUCAGUUAACUAGCUUUUGAUUACUAAGUACAUCACGAUGCGAUAUAUGCAGCUAUUCGAUUUACUAUCUGAUUCGAAAUACGUAUUAUAUACAUCACAUACACGAAUAUAUUAUUCCAUAAUAUAACGUAUUUCAUAUAUACUCAGAUGAUUAUCGGUUAGUUUAUCUUACGUUAUUAUACCUUCAACAAUAUAUUAUUACCUCGAUCGAUCGUAUUACAUCAGCGUAUUCAAUAUAUAACGUGAUACAUUUAGUUAGCUUUUGACUAUGUACUACGUACAUCACUAGAUGAAAUAUACAUACAUAUAUAUAAAUGUAAGUUUUUGACUAUUGAAGAGGAGCCUUGGAGUAACUGGUAAAGUUGUUGCCAUGUGACCAAGAGGUCACGGGUUCAAGCCUUGGAAACAGCCUCUAGCAGAAAUGCAAGGUAAGUCUGUGUACGAUACACCCUUGUGGUGGGGUCCUUCCCUGGACACCGCGCAUAGUGGUAGCUUUAGUGCACCGGGUUGCCCUAAAGUAAGUUUUUGACUACGUAAUACAUACAUCACUACAUGAUAUAUACAUAUAUAUGUAUAUACACACGCGCUAUCUACUAUCAAAUUCUAAUACAAACUCUAUACAUCACAUACACAAGUGUAUUACCCCCGCAAUGCAACGUUUUUAAUACAUCGUAAUGCAACGUUUUUAAUACAUACUUUGAUGAGUUAUCGAUUAAUUUGAUUAGCUUACAUUAAUAUAACUUCAACGUAAAAUUUAUUAUUACUUCAAUUGUUUCAAGUCAAAGUAUUCAAUAUAUACUUGGAUACAUCCAGUUAGCCUUUGACUUUUUGCAAUACACGAAAUACCCACACACAUACUUACUAUCGACUAUCAGGUUCUAAAUACGUACAAUAUACAUCAUGUAUACAUGAGUAUAUAUCGACUAUCAGGUUCUAAAUACGAUUAAUAUCAGGUUCUAAAUACGAUUAAUCUGUUUCCUUCACCUGGUGCCUUAGACCUUGCUCCCAGUGAUUCUUCAAUACCCACUAUUCCUUCAAGUCUCAGCCCACCAAACCCAGAUGCUAUGGUUGCUCCUGGACGUUUCAUGCCAUUUCAGCCUUCUGCCUCAUUCCCAAUUCACUUUGCAAUUCCUCUAGCAUGGCUUCUUUGUGCAAUUCUGGUCUUUGUUGUGUAAUGCCUGCUGCAUUGCUGGUUCAUACUAGAUUCUGGGUAUAAUCUAUUGGUUUUACCACACCUCGUUUGUCUAUCAUGUACUACAGAUUUAUAUUUUUAAUUAGUCACUAGUGCGAUAUUGGCAUCAUUACUAAGUUAAUUGAGAUGUAUUACCAUUCUUGUAUCAAAUGAGAAGGGAUAAAACAAUGACUCCUCUUUGUCUAAAAAAUUCAAGCUUUGUCAUUCUAUGUUUGAGGGAUUAUAAAUUCAGUUGUCAAAAUGAUACUGGCAUACGCUAUUCUACAUGAUCAUUCUUUCUAUACUAAAAAGAAUAUCAAGAAUCAUUUUUGAGGUAUAGCAAAUGAAGUAGUAGUAUAAUGUUUGAGUAUGUCAUUCUCACAUGCUAGCGAAAUUACUAUUGGUUUUAGUAUUUAUGAGAUCUGGUGAAGAGCCUCUUCAGAAACCCCUUCUUAGAUGCCUUGAGCUCAAUGGAAAAAUCCCUUUUUGGAGAGGCCUUAGCAACACUCAUCCUCAGCCUCUUGUUUUCCUCUCCCAGCAAAUCCAAAGCUAUGCAAAGCUGUCUGAUUGCCUCUUUUUUCUCUUCAUCUUUCUGCAUUAGAAGCUCCUGAUGAACUCGGCUCUCUUCCUUCAGUCGCUCGAUUUCUUCAUUCAACUUUAGUACCUCAUCAGUUUUAAGGCUAAGGCCACUUGAUGCUUCUGGUUUCUCCUUCUCGAAUUGGAUUUGGAUUUGGAUUUCCUCUUCGUCAUUAUCAGGAUCCUCGAUCUCUGAUAGAUCACAAUUAGACUCGGACUCGGGGUCAAAGGAUUCUGAAUAGCUGUCAUAGGAUUUCUCCAUGGAGCUGAUCAGUAUCUCCUCUGAAUAUUUUGUUAAAGGUAAUGCAGACGUCCAUGCUGCCAAAAUGCGCGUCCUGGACGCACACUUGAUUUGAUCACAUCCCUCAGCUAACAACCGAUGGGAACGAUAAAUUCCCUCAACCAUGUUAACGAGCUGUGGUCGUUUCUUGAAAUACAUCUCUGCUCUUUGAGCAAACGUAUCUGCAUCUUCAUUAAUUAUCUUGAGUAUUUCAUUUGUCUUCUCAUCUAGCUCUGCAACAAUACAAUUGUACAAGUUAUAAUAGGUGACUGCAGAAAGUCAGAAACUUUCAAGUUCUUUAACGUGAAGAAAGUUUUGCCAUAACAGUAAGGCAUGAGAAAGCAAUAUAAAUAUUACUAAGGUAAAUUACGUUUCAGGAAAUUUAGAUGCUCUGUGGGAAGAGCAAAAAGUGGAGUCUUGGUCAAAGCAAGUGGCCCUAUUCUACUACUGACAUAAUUGGAAGAAGAUCAGGCAAAACAUGUCAAUGAAAAAGUGAAAAUGGUCAGUUAUAUAUAUAUUCUCACCAGCUAGAGUUGAUUGAAGCCAUGGCGAGCCAUUUUGGAUGCUAUUCUGGCCAUUGUUAGAGCAGCACCAGUAUGUUGAUAGCUUGUCUGUUGCCACUCCCAUUUAUAUUUGGCUUUUGAACAAUCUAACAAUAAAAAGAUAAACAGAUAACGAAGUGAAAGGUGUUGGUAGGUAGAUUAAGAAUGUUUGAAAGAGCCUCAAUUUUAGGCAGUUGGUUUUUGAGGAGUGAAAGAAGGGAAUUUAUACUAUAGGUAGUAGGCUCCUCUCAAUAUAUGGUUGGGUUGGGCCCUAACUAUAUAACGAUUAAUUUGGAGCGUCUUUCACUCAUUUUAUUUAUUAAAAAUAAUAAUACGGUGCUUAUUAUCUGCUACUUCUUUCCCUCUCAAAAAAAAAAAAAGAAAUACUAUUAGCUGUUUCCCACACAUGAUGCCGAAAUUUAAAAUGUCCUAUAGACACUCUUUUAACUUUAGGGACAAUCGCAUGUAUGCAUCCACUGUACGCUGCGAUGCUCAAAGUUAAUUUAGAUAGGACAAGAUAUCUUAUCCAAAUAAAAAAAAGAAAAAGUGAUCACAAUUUAGAAGGUGACACAUCUUUGAUUUAAUUUCAUAUAACGUGUUUCACUAGCAUGAAAUUAAUAAAAUUUAUUAUUCCAUUCAUUUUUGUUUCAUGGGUUUUAAUUUAAAUGCAGGCGAAGUAUUAAAGUAGGAGCUGAUAUAAGAUGUGUGGGUGAGCUACGCUAAAAGCUUGUACACGUAGGGUCAUUUGAUAGAGGGUAAAAUAUCAAUGUAAAAUAUAGUGUAUUAGUAAUGCUUGUAUUACUUAUUCUUGUAUUAAUUAUGCAUGUAUUAUUUCUUAUACAUUGUUUGAUUUGAUGUAUAAGAAAUAAUACAUCUUACAGAAUUUCUAUAAAAGAAAUGUUUGUUUACAAAAAUACCCUUAUUUAAUUUUGUACACUUUUUUGCAACAAAAUUUUUUUGUCAUCUCAAAUAUAAUUAGUAUUGUUGAACUAGUAUAUAGAGGUUUCAGAUUAAUUGCAAGACCUUCGUCUUUGGGCAUGAAAUAUUUUGCUAACGGAUUAAUAUAGUCGAAAUAAAAAUAAAAAUAUAAGACGUAAAAUUAAGAAAUAGUCUAAAUUAUUUUUUUUAAUCUUUUUAAAGACCCUCGAAACAAAGCAAAAAUAUGUUACAAUUAUUUAAAUCAAUUAUUCAUUGUUAUGGAUUAAAAUAGUUGUGGGGGGUGGGGGAUGUUUUGAAAAGAUUCACUAUUGCAAAUUAAAAUGGCGGGAAAGGAAAUAGUGAAAUAUUUUGAAAGGAAAAUUGAUGGGUAUUAAGGUCAUUUAAUAAGUUAUGCAUGUAUUAAAGACUUUGCAUUACUAAUACAUAGAAAAUGGGUGGUAUUAGUAAGACACACCUUAAUACACAAUAGAGUUGACUAAAAAUUAUACCAAACAAGGUAUUCAUAAUACACAUUAAUUAAUAUAUGCAUUAUUUUUGCUAAUACAUUCUACCAAACGAUACUUUGGUGUAAGGUAUAAAGAAUAAGCAAUAUUAGGAUUCGUUUAGUGUAAGGUAUAAAGAAUAAGUAAUCAAUAUUACUAUUACUACGUAUUAUAAGGGAAAAUGAGGAGUUUCGUAUUAUAAGGGAAAAUGAGGAGUUUGGUAGUCCUCACAUUGAUCUUUGAUGAAUCAAAUAGCUAAACAUGGCUUCUUUUUCUUUUUUCUUUUUUUCCUUGCAUUUUCAUUGCCCUGAGGGAUUUUGCUUUUCCUUAGUUAUUGGUAUAUUCAUGUUAAAGUAUAGCAAUGUUUUUGUGGAUCUAUUAUUGAUUUUUUACUCUCAUCAAAUAUUUAUUAAUUCGUUUAUGUUUUGAUUUGAUACGAAAUUUAAGAAAAUGAAGAAGGUUUUUUGAAAAUUUUGAUCUUAACUUAAUACAAAAUUAAAUUUGUAAUAAUUCAACUAUUAUCUUAUAGAUUUUUCUUAUAUUAUAUUCAGUCGUCCAAAAAUCUAUAAUAAAUAGGAUAACUUAAUAAAUAAUAUCUUGUAUUUUUUUAUUUUUUUUUAACAGACAUGAAAAAAAGACAAAAGAAUAAAUUAAAACGAGGCGGGUAGAGCAUUCUUUUAAGGGAUGUAUAAAGAAAAAAUAUGACAGGUAAAUAGAUUAAAUGGAGUAAUCUAUUAAUGUUAGUUUAAUUAUCAUUGAAUAUUCUUAUAUAUCAUUAUUAAGUUAAUUUAUACAAUGACUCUAAAUUAAGGUUAUAAUUAUUAUAAUAUAAAUUUGAAGUCAUUGAAAUAUUUUGUUUCAAAUAAUUCUAUAAGAUGAAAAAAAAUAUUGUGAAACUCUUGCCACUAAAAUUAUGAGAGAAGCUAAAACAUCAAUAAGUACCAAAAUAAUUUAUUUCUAUUUAUAAAUAAAGAAUUACGUAUUCACAAAUUUAUAAAAACAUUAAUAUUUUCUAUUCAUGAUCUUUUUUGAGUCCUAAUUAUUACAUAUUUUAAAUCAAAUUAUUUUAUAAAAUGUCAAAUUACUUGUAGCAUUUUGGCAUAUUAUAAUACUCUGGUAAUACUUUCUUCCUCACAAAUUAUUUUUUUAUCUAAGAUUAUCCAGUUAUGUGAUUAAUUAUUUUAAUAAUUAUGAAAACUUAUCAACAAGAUAUGUUUAAUAAACCAUUUAAUUAUACCAAUUAUAAAGUAAAGAAAAUAAUAUAAAUUAUAUUUUUAAAUUUAAAUUCUUAUUUUUAUAUCUCACUUUGGGCCCGAGCUUAGACUUGAAUUUAGGCCCUUUCCAAAAUAAGUUUAGAAAUAAUAAAUUAUUUUGGUUUUUUUUUUUUGCAUAUAAAUCUACGUAUAUUCCACUAUAGUGGUCUCACUGUAGCAAAAUAAGCUUGCUAUGAUGGGAUUGACUAAUGUUGACUCCCGCUAUAGCGAAAAUUUUAUAGCAGUUUUCCACCCACUAUAGCGGGUGUGGUAACACAGAAACUCGAGAUUGCUUUCAGAUUUUUUUUUUCGCAAUGCACCCUCAAAUCAUGACAUUUCAGACUAACCCCUUUGCGUCAUGUUUGAUAUCGGAGGUUCUACUUAUCCAAAUUCAUUUCUGAAAAAUCAUACGAAUUUUUUAUCGUCAUGGCUAACAUAAAAACAUGUAACUUGGAAAAAAUUAUGUCAAUUUAACUUUUAACAUGAAAUUAAAUUUGCAAUAAUUUUUUACGUUGGAAUCUUUUAAAAAUCUUAUUUAAUUUUUCUUUUUUAAAUAUAAGCACUAAAUAGGGAAACUUAAUAGACAAUAUCUUAUAGAAAAAAGACAUCUUUCCCCCUCAGAACUUGUCCUCUAAACUCACUUUAGCACUUAAACUUAAUUUUCGUUUAUUUAACUCCGUUAACAUCUUUAAAGUGAAUUAUUUUUCCCCCUAAAAGAAAAUACUCCUUUUUUCUUCAAUACCUCCCACCCCCCUUCACCUCUCAUCCCCACCCCACACACCUACACACCACUCCCCAUAUCAUUUUAUUCCCCAAUACAUCAACAAACGACAACACCCAUUUUCUACAAUAAUUAAUUCUUCCAUUAACAACCUCAAACAUAUCCUCCAACAACACUUUCCUCCAUUUUUUUUUUCAUUUUUUUCCAUUAAUAAAUUCUCCAACGAAGAAAUUGAAGACAUUAAAUUGCUUCAUUAAUUCAGUUCGAAGAAUAACAAAAUUGAAAGAAUUUUUCGUAACUUUUAUUUUUAAAGUUCAUUGUUCCUUCUCUAUUUUUUAUUUAUGUUUACAUCUUCAUGGGUGAAUUUGGUGGUUGAAAACUUGAGAAAGUUUGAUUGAAGGUUGAGAUAGUGUUUAAUGGAGAAAAAAAUUUUAAUUUGAUAUUUUUGUGAUUGUUCUCUAAUGGUGUUGAUUAAGGAAAAUGAAAAAAGAAAAUUGAAAGUGGGGAUGAGGGUUGGCUGGAAGAAGAGAAAGAAAUAGAGGGGUCGAGAACGGGGGUGGGUGAUUUGAAAAAAAAAAAGAAAAAUGAGGGGUGGGGGUGAAGGAAAAUUGAAUUUGAAGGUGGGGUGGGAGGUUGUUAAUGGAGGAAAAUUGAAAAACAAUGGAGAUAGGGUGGAUUUGAUGGAGGAGGAGAGCUGGUGGGGGGCGGCGAAAGAAAAUGGGGGGUGCACUUUUUAUUUAAUAUAUAUAAAUAUGUACAUAUAAAGAUAAAUAUAUAUAUAUAUAAAUAUAUAUAUUUAUAUAAAUAAAAUAGUAUAUAUAUUUGUUAUUUUUUUCAAAAAAAUAUAUAAAAAUAAUGUGGGAGGGUUUAUUUAUUUUUUAAAUAGUAAUUUCUUACGUUGCAAUGACGUGGCUCCAACGUGGCAUUGAUGUGUUAAGCGAGUGUAACACACUCUCCGUUGUGAGAGUGAUAUUCAGUUUUGAGGGGUAAACAAUUCACUUUAAAGAUGUUAGGGGGUUAAAUAAACAGAAGUUAAGUUUAAGUGCUAAAGUGAGUUUGGAGAACAAGUUCAGGGGGAAAAGGAUGUCUUUUCUCUAUCUUAUAUUUACUAUUUUUCUUAGUGGACAUAGAAAAAGUAAAUCAAUAAUUAUACUGGGAAGAAAAGUUUAUUCUUUAAAGGUUGUGUAAGAAAAUAAAUAUAACAAGUAAAUGAGUAGUGUAUUACUUAAUUCAAUUACUAUUUAAUGUCCUUAUUCGUCAUUGUUAAGUUAAUUUGUGUUAGACUCUAAAUUAAUGUUCUGAUUAUUUUAAUAUAAACUUGAAGUGAUAGAAAUAUUUAUUGUAUUAAAUAAUUUUAUAAGAAGAAAAAAAAAUUAUCAAAAUAAAUUUAUUUUAUCUAUACUAACAAUUCAUAAAAGUAUUGUAUUUUUUUAUUUAUUAUUUUUGUUGAAUCAUAAUUAUUUAUAUACUUAUCUUCAAAAAAAUUUUAUCUUCAAGAAUUAUUUAUAUGUCUAAUUCUUUGACAAUAUAUUUAUUUCUCAAAAACAAUAUUUCAAUUUAAAUUAUUUAAUUAUAUGAUUAUGAAAUUAAAUAAUUAUGAAUACCUAUCAAAAAGGCAUGUUUAAUAUUUCAUUAAAUAAGAUUAAUCAUUAGAUAAAAAUAUGAUAUAAAUUUAUGUUUUAUUUUUCUAUUCUGAAUUUGGGUCCGGGCUUAGCACGGGCCUGGAUGGAACUAGUAUAUAUAUAAAGGAGAAUGUUAAUCAAUCCUAUGUGGCAUGCUUGAGAGGCUCUAAUGCCAUUUAUCUUUUUUUUUUUGUGAUUUUUUGGGUUAUUUUUAGUAUAUUUCUUUCAUUUAUAUGCUAUAUAAAAUGCCUCCAAAAGACACACAACAAAUUCUCUUUAAUUUGACUUUCUUAAACAUCACAUAAUUAUAAAUUAGUUAUUAUCUCUUCACCUUUCAGUCUCUUUUCAUAUUCACAUAAAGUUUUCAUUUUUUUUUAAUAAUUUCUCAUUCACUUUAAAAAUAAAUCAAUCAACCAAUCUAUCUAUAUAUAAAGGAGAUUUAUAGGCAUGCUUAUGUGGCAUUCCUAAUAGGCCAAGAAAAAUAAUUAUCUUUUUUCUCCUUUUUUAAUUUUUUUCCUUCAUUCUCUUAUUAAUUAAAAAAUUAUAUCAUAUUUACUACACCUAAUUAUAGCUCAUGAGUUAUAAAAAAACCUCUAUCUAUUUGUAUUCUCACUUAAUAACAUGUCUUUUCAAUUUGUUUUGCCCAUUCUUAUGAUUUGAUCAAUCUAUAAAUAACAAUAAUUUGUAGAAUUGUCGGAUGUUCAUUUUCAUUUCUCCUUCUUCUUUUUCUAUUAGUAUAUAUCUUUUUCUCCUUUUCAAUUUUUUUCACAUUAUGUUCAUCAAUCAUGUGUUCAAUAACUUAAAAGAGGGAACAUUAAAGAUGUAAUUUACAAUAUGGCUAAUGGACCUAUUAUUUAAAAUUUUUUCUUGUGUCAUAAGAACCAAACACAAGUUUACCAAGAUGAAGAAUGAAGCUUGAUGGCGGCAUAAUAUUCAUCAAAGAGAAAAUGACCAAAUUAGUUUCGUAUAAAUUCAUCGUCAAGACGAAGACGAACCUAUAAUGCAUCAAGAGAUGGUCAUAUUAGUUCGAAAAAGUAAAAUUUUUUGAAUGAUUUAUUAAUAAAUAUAGAUGUCCUUAUUGUUGCUUAUUCUAGUAUUUUUAAUUAACUAUGCCACCAAAUACAAGAUAUAUACUCUUCAAUAACAAGAUUUGAUUACAAAGUUUUACACUUUUUGUAUACUAUUAUUUUACUGUUAACAUAAAAUUUAAUUAUAAUAUUAUCUUUAAAUAUACAAUCUCUAUUUAUAUAUAAUUGUGGUAUAUUAGAAUGUAUAUAGUUCUUUGAUUAAAAUUUCAUUUUUUGUUUGUUUGUUCCUCCCUUUCUAUUUUUUUUUUAAAUUAUCUUAUGAAUUUUUAUUCUAUUUAAUUUGUGUUUCAUUGUAAAUUUCAAAAAUUACUUUGUUAAUCCUCUUAAUUACACCGCAUCUUUUCCCCUUCUCACUAUUAAUCCUUUUAAUAGUAAUUUUCUAUGAUCAUAAUAAUAAUCAUAUUAACAAUAAUUUUCUAUCAUCAUAUAUUUAAGGUAAAAAAAAAAAAGAGAAAGAGGGAAGAAAAAUUUCUACCAAUGAAUUUUAUGAAUUUGUGGCAAAAAAGUUCAAUAUUGUACUUUUAAAAAAAAUAUUUUUUAGACUUAGAUUUAAAAUAAAAUAAAAGUUAUGAAAGUAUCAACAAAUUAAAGUUAAAUACUUAUAAAUAUCGAUAAAUAAGGUGAUGUAGCAUUUUUCUAUCACAUAAAAAAUAUAUAUUUAAUUUACGGCACAUCUUUUAUUAUGUAUAUUGCCAUUUGCCAGUGAUGAAAAUAAUUUCAAUAAUAUUAUUUCUUGCAUUAAUUAAGUGAGACUCUUAAAUCUUAAUAAGUUUAAAUUUCUUAAAUUACUUGAAGAUUACUCCACUAGAAUUUCUUGAAACUUAUAAUUUUUUUUACCUUGUUUUUUGAUGUCUCUCUUCAUUUUACUAAAUAAUAAUAAUAUAAUAUUCUACUAACCAAUUGAAUUAAAAAAUACAUCAUCUUAAUACAUUUAAUUAAGUAAAAAAUAUUGUAACCAUUAUGACUUGUGAUAAUUCAGCUGAUGAAAAUUUAGAUUACAACAAUAGCUGUUGUGAUAACUCAACUAAUAAAAACAUAAGUUACAACUUUAGAAUAUAAAAAAAUAGUAAUGGUUCAUUAAAGUUGCAAAUGUUAAAUUAAAAUAAUUAAAAGCAGUAAUACUAAUUGUCUUUUUCUUCACAAUUCAUCUUUCUCCUCUUUGAAAUUGCAAAGGUUGAAUUGAUAGUUCUCAAUUCUUUUGAUUUUUUUUUUGGUUAUUAGUUCACUGCUUUGAUUGAAAUUACUAUCGAAUUUCAAUCUUAAUUAUGACAUUCAACAAAAUUGUAUUCAUUGAAUUUUUGUUAUUGCUAAAAAAAUUUGAGUAUUCAAGAUCUAUUUUGACUAUUAAAGAUAUAUGUUCAUUUUAUCUUAUGAAAGAAAAUUAAAAAAGAUUUUAAAUGUCACAAAAAAUAAAUUUAAUGAAUAUGUGAUUUUUCCUUCUCUCUCAUAUCUAUGGUAACUCAUUCCUUGAAUUAAUAUUGUAGCGGUUAAAAGUUAAGACAUACCAAUUAUUAUAUGUAUUUAACUAUCCAAAAGUGAUUAAAAUAUUUUACAUGAAAGCAUCUUAAUAUUUUCAUGUAAAAAAAAAGAUCUUAAAUGUGUUUAACUUUUAAAUUUAAUUAAAUAUUAAAAAAUUAAAUCAUAAAUUUAACAAAUUUCAUGACCUCAUGAGGUAGGACAAUUUUAUGACCGCGCAAAACACGGCUAAUUUCACUAGUUUUGAAAUAAAAUAAAGAAUUAUUUUAUCCCAUAUUUGAUUGGAGGAAUUAAUUAAUAUCAUGAUAAUUUAUUCCACCAUAAUGAUGAGAUAACUUAUUUCCAAAUAAUGAGCCAUAUUAUCCAGAACAGUAGAUGGAUGUGCACCGACAGUCGACAACAAAACUUAACACUGGUUAAUGUUUAUUAAUGUCCGAAGCUCCUAACUCUGGUUAACUUAACUAUCCAUUUCCUCACACCAUUACACAAUAAAUAAAUCCAAGUAAAUCGGAGUCUCCAUUAUCCACUCCUGUGGUUCUUCUUCUUCUUCUUCUUCAUCUCGAAAAGUGUACCAAGAUCGAAUGGCGUCGGCCUCACUCCCAGAACAAGUGUUGAAGCACCUCUUCUCUUUCUUAACCUCAGACAAAGACCGCAACUGUGUCUCCUUAGUCUGUAAAUUGUGGUACGAGGUGGAGAGGCGAUGCAGGAGGAGUGUCUUCAUCGGAAACUGCUACGCCGUUACUCCUGAUAUUAUGAUCAGACGUUUCCCUCAACUCACUUCUCUCACUCUCAAAGGAAAGCCCCAUUUUGCUGACUUUAAUCUCGUCCCUGACGGCUGGGGUGCCUAUGUUGAUCCUUGGAUUGCUGCCAUGUCCCAAUCUUAUCCUUUUUGCCUCGAGGAGAUUAGACUUAAGCGAAUGGUUGUUACUGAUGAGUCUUUGGAGUUGAUAUCCACCUCUUUUCACAAUUUCAAGGUCUUGAUCUUGUUGUCUUGUGAAGGCUUUACUACUGAUGGACUUGCUGCCAUUGCUGCUAACUGCAGGUCACAUUAAUUUCCCCCCCUUUUUUGCUAUUCUCCAUAGCUCCACCAUUAGUAUUCCUUUCUUGCUGCACACUAAUUUUACUUCUCACUCGGAGAAGAAAGUUUUCGUCUUUGUGUCUUUCGUAGUUUUAAUCCUUCUGGCAUUGUGUUGCCUUUUAGUACUUUAGUUUGUGUUACAAUUUCUUAUUAUUUGAUUUCUGUGACUACUUUGUGAUCGUUAAACUUCACCAAACAAGACAUUUCAAAGCUUAUUUUUCAAAAAACGUUACUUGAUUAGAUCCUCUGGAAACCGAAAAGCAUACUGUUGAAGAUUUUAUUUAUUUUUGGUUUAGGUCAAAGACUUGCAUUAUUUACACUUUCCUUAAAUUUUAUUACUCAUUUUCUGCAUAACGAGUAGUAGUUAAAUGUAGCUUGCUCCGUGGGUAAUAUGGAUCUGACUUUCUUUACGUUGAAGUUAAAUCUUUUGUUUGUUUCGUUAGAAUUGUUAGGGUCCAAGUCCGUUGUCGUUACGUACCUAGGAUUUAGUUGAGCAUAGAAUCCAAAUAGGUCUUUCAUUUUCCCUUUCUAAAUUUCCCUUUUGCAUCUCAGUGAUCAGUAGAUUUGGGAAGCUUUGUUAUGGAAAUUUCAAGCUAGUUGAUUUCUUAAAACGCAUAUAAGGAUGGACUUGCUUUUACUUUGUAUUUCUUGUUGCACACCAUGUGAGAACUACUUUCCCAAUAAUGUGGUUUCAUUUCUGGUUAUUGGGUAGAUUCCGAUCACUUUGAUUAACUAUGCAGUUCAGAUUUGAAGAAAAUAUGCUCUCUUCGUUCGCUUCUUUUACAUAUUUUCUUGAAUGUGAUCUUAAAACCUCUUUGAAGGAAUUGUAAUGAAAUUUAUAUCUGGUGCUUUGGUUGGAGACAUUGUGUUAUAUCUGGUGGGGGCUUGUAGUGAUGUUUAUGUGGUGCCUGUUCUUCAAAAGGGUUAAAAAUGGACGUCACUGUGGUUCAAUGUUAACAUGCUUAGUUGGCGAAUUUAUGAAAUGGGGUUCAAUUAAUUGCUGGUACUGGAAAUAUACUUGUUCCGCAAGCUGAAUUCUCCUGUGUCUAUAGUUCGAAAAAAGAUUCUCCGAUGUCUAUUGACUUUAAGAUUUUAUUCUAUUACACUUCCCUGAAAUUGUUAUUCAGAUUCUUCUGACAUAUUUUCGCAUGUAACUCACGUUAUGCUGCAGGAAUCUGAGAGAACUAGACUUGGGAGAAAGUGAAGUGGAGGACCUAAGUAGUGAUUGGCUCAGUCAUUUUCCUGAUGGCUGUACUUCACUGGUGUUACUUAACAUUUCUUGUUUGGGUUCUGAGAUCAACUUCUCGGAUCUGGAGCGUCUGAUUACUUGUUCUCCUAAUUUGAAGACACUUCGGCUCAGUCAAGCUGUGCCCCUUGAAAAGCUUCCAGACCUAUUAUGCCGUGCUCCACAAUUGGUUGAAUUUGGUACAGGUGCCUACUCCUCUGAGGUACAGUCUGAUGUUUUCUCAAACCUUGAAGAAGCUUUUUCAGGCUGCAAGAAACUUGAAGGCUUGUCUGGAUUUUGGGAUGUCACGCCAGCUUACCUUCCAGCUGUAUAUCCAGUUUGCUCCAGACUCACCUCAUUGAAUUUAAGCUAUGCUACUAUUCAAAACCCUGAUCUUAACAAGCUCAUAAGCCGGUGUCACAAUUUGCAGAGAUUGUGGGUAUGUUCUAGAUUGCUCUUUUACUUUUGCACUUGCCCUUUAUUCUCAGUCACAACAUUCUAAUAACUUAUGAGCAUGGUAUCUAGAGCAAGGGGUUCUUAGAGAAGCACAUUAAAUUCUACUUGUUUAUCGUCUUGUAAAUUCUGUUCAGCAACUAUAUUUAGGAUAAAAAUCAUGAUAUGAAGGUUAGGAAGAUCCAAAGCUCCAGAUAGUUUCCACUACUCAUAAGGUUGAUAAAACAGUUGAAGUUAUAGACAUUUACAUGAGUAGGAUCUUGAAGAUAGAUUCUUCGGUUCUGUAGUUCUCAUACACAGCGGUCAUAUAUAUGAGAAUUAUAGACCUUUUCAUGAGUAGGAUCUGGAAGCGAGAUCCUUCAGUUCUGUAAUUCUCACUCACGUUGGCCAUAUGACAUAUUUAUCAAUCUGAAUUAGAUGCUUAUAUGCUAAAGGCCUUUAUCUGUUCUCUUUUCCUCGGACGUUAGAAGUAUUUCCUGCCAGUGGUUCUUUAUUCUUUCUUGCUAUAAGCUGGUAUUGCUGCUUAGUGUUGAAGACACUUCAAUUUGAAUGAAUGUCACUACAGGUACUAGACUACAUUGAAGAUACCGGUCUCCAGGCACUUGCUGCUUCCUGUAAGGACCUUCAAGAACUUAGGGUGUUUCCUUCUGAUCCCUUUGGUCCAGAACCAAAUGUUUCCUUGACAGAGCAGGGUCUUGUAGCUGUCUCAGAUGGUUGCCCUAAGCUCCAAACUGUUUUAUAUUUCUGCCGCCAAAUGACAAAUGCCGCUUUGGUUACUAUUGCUAGAAACCGUCCUAACAUGAUUUGUUUUCGCUUGUGUAUUUUGGAACCUCGAUCUCCUGAUUACUUGACUCUUGAACCGCUUGAUGCUGGUUUUGGGGCAAUAGUGGAACAAUGCAAAGAGUUGCGGCGACUUUCUCUUUCUGGCCUUCUUACUGACCGUAUAUUUGAGUACAUUGGGGCCCAUGCUAAAAAGUUGGAGAUGCUUUCCGUCGCAUUUGUUGGGGAUAGUGAUUUGGGCCUACACCAUGUGCUCUCUGGUUGUGAAAGCCUUAGAAAACUAGAGAUCAGAGACUGUCCCUUUGGAGACAAGGCUCUUUUGGCUAAUGCUGCAAAGCUGGAGAC
rnacentral:lncRNA from 1 species